AAAAUCACCAUCCCCAUCUUCCCUCUACCUUCUUCUUCUCCUUCUUCCUCCUCCUCCUCCUCCUCCUCCUCUCUUCCUUCGUUUCCUCUCAUGAGGAAGAAAGAGGCCAGAGAAUCACAGAGAUACAAAGCAAGAGCAAAGCAUUUCUAAUCAACUUUGGUUGUUUGCUCUCUUUUUAAUUUAAAUAAUUUCAUUUCUUCAUCUCUUUGUUCUCUCUUGUAUCUUUCUUAAGUUAAAUCAAAAGUAGAAGCUAUGGGUACUGAGAUUUUGAGGCCUCAGGAUUGUUUAAUUGAACGGAUCAGAGUUUCUCCUUGUCGCCGGAGGAAUUUUUAUGGCAACUCUUAUGCUAACCCCAAGUACUAUGACUCUAACCCUAGAUUCAACAGAAAACCAGCCGUGCGCUCUGAGAGGACCGACCAGAGAAAGCGCCAGUCCGAGCCUACCUCGAUCUCGAAGAGGUCGAACUCGGUUGAUGAUUUGAAGAUCGCGAAAAAUCACUACCAUGGCCAGAAGGCUAACAAUAACAGCCUUCUCAUGGAGAAGGUGACCAUUUUGCGACGAGGGGAGUCGCUUGAUUCUAAGAUCCGUAGCAGUGAAACAGCGGCAGUUUCGAAGAAGGAUCUGGGCGGUGAUAUGGUGGUCACUGGUACGGAUCGAUUGGGUCCUGAACCAGAAAUGGUACCGAAGCAGAUCCGAAUAGUUGACCUGAGUUCUCCGGUAACCGGGAAGUGCGAUGUGUAUGCCGGAUCAGCUUUUGCAGUAUCGCCGGCACCUAGCUCGCUCCCGUUGCCGUCUUUCUCGAAGAAAAAGCAAGUCCGUUUUGAUGACUCAGCUACCAGAGACCUCAGGCGUUUACUUCGACUUGACGUUUAAGGAUCCGUCUAUAAAAUGGGUGGUCAUACUUCUGGAUGAAUAAGUUAUUAGUCUUUCUACCUCUUGCCAAUUUCGUCUCUGUUACAUCCGUCUGGUUUUUGACGAUGGGAUCCUCCCGUGAGAUUUUUUGUAAAACGGUAGGUAGAUCUGAAAAUCAGGGAAAGUAUAGGGACGAAUUAGUAAAAAGGAGGGUAUAUCAUGUAUAUGGGGGUAUUGUGUAUUGGGGCUUAUGGAUAGUGUAUCUGGGAGUGGGGCGGAAUUAGGAAAAUGGUUGGGGCUGAGUAGUGUAAAAUAUGAAUGAUGGAGGAGGACGUUUGUGAAUCUGUUAGGAAGUUUACUGCUUAUGUACAAUAAUAAUAUGAAGUAAGAUGAAAAAUUAGGGAGAAUUAGGGGAGAUUUUAUAAUAUAUAUAUCUCUUAUAGUUUUCCCAUUUAAAUGAACUCUUCUUGCUUUCAUCUUUAAUAUAUAUAUAUAAAAUAAAAUAAAUAAAAAUUAUGGGAUGAAAAGUAUUUGAUUUUUAAUUUUAUAAUUAAAGAUAUAAUAUUAAAUUAAAAGUAAAGAUUAAAAUAUAUAAUUUAAAACUUUGCUUUUAUUUAUUAUUAAAUUUUAUGAUUUGUUGAAUUCUUUACUAUUAGACUGAAAAAAUUUUAAUUAGAAAAUUGAAAAAUGGAAAUGUCAAUAGGUAAAUGAAAAUGUAAAGUUUAUUAAAUUUUUUCAAACAAUUGAGCGAUCUUAUUUUUGAGUAAAAUAAUUCAUUGUUUUGUUUUUUUGGGUCAUUGUAUUAUCUAUAUAUUAGACUUAUUCAAUAAUUUCGUAUAAUUGUAAUUUAUUUUUAAUUGCCAAAAAAACUAUUACGAUUAAAAUUUUGAAAUAAUAAAAAUUAAUUUUCUUUGCUUUAUUAAAUAAUGUGAAUAAAUUAUCAUCGUUGUAUUUUUUUAAGUCAACAUAUUUAUAGAUCUGGAUACUUUCUAAAGCAUUAAACUACACGUUUACUGGACUUUGAUUAUUUCAUGAUUUAGUGGUUGAAGGUCAGUAAAAUAAAUAUAAUAAUUGAAUUUUGUUGAAAGAAUCAGAAGAAAAAAAAAGGAUUCAGCAUAAAACGCAUGAUUAGUUAGUUAAUCCAAAUUUCGAUUAUUCUACUCAACCAAUAUUUAACUUUAUGAUAAAAUCUAAAUAUAAUCCUUUCACUCUAAUAAUUUAUUAUGAUGACUUCAUUAGUUCCAUGCUUCUUGCUUCUGGCUCAUCCUUUAUGUUAUUAUUUAAAUUUAAAUGUCACAAUUUAUUUUAUUUUAUAUGUGUAAUAAUUAUUGAUACUAAAUUCUAUAAUUUCACUUUGAAAUUGAUAAGUAGAGUAGCUAACAUUUUUUUUCAAUUUAGAUUUUAUUUAAUUUAAAUAUGUUAUUUUUUAAAAAAUUAUUUUUCAGAAAAUAACUUAAUUAGAUCGGUGUAAUUAUUUUUUUUAUUAAAAAUAAAAAAAAAACUAUUUUUUAGAAAGUCAAAAAAGAAAUGUCCAUUAAAUAAAAAUAAUUUUUGCAAUUUAUUAGAAAUUUCAAGUUUUUCAGUUGAGUAGCCCCAAUCAAACGAGGCCAUAGACUCUAUAUUAUCAGUCUAAGUCAUUCUUCAUUCUCCAUGUUAAGUGAACGAAACUUCUUUCUUUUUUUUUUUUUAUAUGAAAAUUCUUCUUCUUACUCCAACACGCAUUUAAACUUUUCUGCUAAAGACAAUUAAUUGAAAUUAAAGUUUCGACUCUAAAGCUCAAUCUUCUAUGUUUCUGGGAAAUUAUCUCAUUUUGUAACGUUCUAUCUUCAUCACGAAACAGCUAUUUAAACACGCAUAAAAUUUUCAACAACUCCUUUAGGUUUCUGAAAAUCUAAGGGAUUGAGGAUACUGUUAGAAUAAGUACGAUAAUCAUACGUAGAGGUUUUCCAUAAAGGGAUUCGCAAGCAUUGGUGAGAAAAUCAACCAUAAAGGCGUUGGCAACAAUUGGUAAGAAAAUCAACCUGAAAGGUUUCCUAAUCGUUUGAUGGAACCAUAUAUGUUAUUUCAUGACCAGAAAAUUAAGCAAUGUGCACCAUCAUAUUUUUAGGGCAAUUGGGUUGCAGCAAAUUUAGUGCUUCUAAGCUUGGUUAUAAAGGAUGCCUAUAACCCCUUUCGAAGAGUGGAAGCAAACCCAUGUGUCAGCUGCUCACCAUUUUACGUAGAAGCAAGCAACUCUCUCUUCCUCCCUCUCAACUCUCUUAUCUUACAGUUUAUUUCUGUCUAUAUAUGUACCUGCAAAAUCUGCUUCCAAAACCACCCAAAACUCGAGAAAAUAUUUUGUAUAGCUCUCUAUAAUUAGCCCUCAGUCUAGACAAGAACACUCUCCAAUGGCCAAAGACAGCUCCAAGAAAUCAGUCCAGGACAGGACACUGACAGGAGUAGGCAACCUCAUCAAGCUCCUCCCUACAGGAACAGUCUUCAUUUUCCAGUUCCUUAAUCCUGUCUUGACCAACAAUGGUCAUUGUCACACCAUUAACAAGUACCUUAGUGGGAUCCUCAUGGGGCUUUGUGGGUUUUCUUGUGCAUUCUCUUCUUUCACUGACAGUUAUGUUGGAAGUGAUGGAAUCACUCACUAUGGGAUUGCAACUGUGAAGGGACUAUGGACAUCUGCAGAUGCAGAAUCAAUGAACAUGUCAGGAUAUAAGCUUCAGUUUGGGGACUUUGUUCAUGCUUUCUUUUCAGUGAUUGUGUUUGCUGUUUUGUCUCUUUUGGAUUCUAACACUGUGGAAUGUUUUUACCCCUCUUUUGAGUCCUCUCAGAAGACUCUGCUCAUGGUGUUGCCUCCAGUUAUUGGUGUAAUCUCAGGCUCUAUCUUCAUGUUCUUCCCUAACAAGCGCCAUGGAAUUGGGUACCCUCCAAGUUCAAGUGAUUCUUCACAGCAAUCCUAGUGUGUGCAGUGUGCUGCUUUUAUAUUAAUAUCUGUUCUUCAUUAUUUAUUGCUUCACCAAGUUUGAAUUCUUCUUUUUCUUCGUUCCUUAACAGUACUUGUAAGAACGUUAACUUUGUCCUGAUUUGUAUGAUUGCUUUUAAAACUAGAGGGAAUACUGGACAUCAUUCCCCUGGCAUAAGCUUGUUGUUAGUCCAUGAUUUAUUAAUUAAGAAAUGAUGAUGCUAUUAACUAUGCAAGUCUUAUGUAUUGCAAAAUCAAGAAAUUAUAUUGACUAGGCAAUUUGUUGUCACUUGACAAGGAACUCUGUUUUCAUGAGCUUAAAGAGAUGAGAUAGUUUUUGGAGAAUUGAUCUAUUCAUGAGAAUUGAAUUAUUGUACUUGGAAAUCUGCAGGCAAAGACCAAAGUUCAAUUUCAAGUAAGCAUGAGGCAAUGCUUGCACUAUUAAUUAAGGAUUAAAAAUGCUGUCACAAGAAACUAAAAGCAGACCUAACACAAACAGAACUCAUUUUGCUUGAUGCUUAAGGAUUUUGUGGUGCAAGCAAAAAAUGCAAAUGCAAGCAAAAACAAUGCUGAUGCCAACCAAAGUAAGAUUGGCCAAACAAGCUCUAUCAAUCAGGUAAGUUCCAUUUGGUGUGUGGUCUUGAUUCUUGAAGAGUCAACUGACAACCAAUUUAAAACUGUUUUAGGCAUCUCAAGAAAUGGGAAAAACACUUUUUCCUUAAAACUAUUACAGAAUUACUUCAUAGAGCAAUAUCGAUUUGUGGGAAUUGCAAGAUUACAGGUGACUUGGACAGCAACAAAAAUCUAAAGAAGUUAUUCCUAUUAAGUUGCUAUGGAUCUAUAUGAGGUACAACUUACUCUGUCAAAAAAGUAUGAUGAUUUAUAAAUAAUCAUUAACAAAGGGAGAGUGGAGACGAUGGCAAUUAAAAAGAAAAUUUUCUAAGAAGAAAAUCUCAGGUGUUCAACUUCCAGAUACCCUUAGAAGGCCAAGGAUUUGUUAUCUUAACAACUUUCUGCUUUGCUUUCUGGGUUUGUCUAACUGCACUCUCUUGAUGACUAUUGCUUCCUUUCACAAUUUCAGCUUUAACUAUGUGGUGAUCAGAGGUACCUUUGGAUGAAAUCACCGAGUAUGAUCCUGGAAUGAACUUGUAUGGCGAGUCUUGAGAUGCCAAAAGAUAAUCCACUCGUGUGCCAUACUUGCACGUUCCUUGAACAUCUAAUUUACCAAAAUCCACAAUCAAGCUUGAGUGCUUGACAGCUCAAAGGGGAAUAUAAAAACAUGAUAAAUAGUAGCAGACAAAGAAGCUAAGGUUGUUUGCUUACUUUGGCCUUUGGCGAUGAUUACUACUGGUUCACAUUCCCCUGCAAAGUCCUUUGCAUCUAUGUACUCUUUUCCUUUUAGAAAGUUGGUUACUUCGAUUUUUGGCCUUGGCUUCCCAAUGUCCUCAUAGUACUGCAGGAUUAGUUGAUCAGAAGGCCGGAAGGGUAUCGAAGGAAAAUUUUCAAGGCACGGUUGCCAAAGAUUUUACCUUGACAAUGUCCAUCCAUCUCUCUGGAGAGUAAUCUGAUCCAGUGAGAGAGUUGAGACCUCCUGCUAAUAUGUGGGGAGAGUUGCUUGAUUGUAUCAUUGCAUUUAUCUGCUUCAUUCUCCAAUUUUCAUCCAAAUGGUCAAGUUGUGUGCAGUAAAAGUCUACUUCUCCUGCCAAUGGAACGCUAAUUGUGGCCUUCAGCACAUUCCUGCAUUACACAUGAUAAGGUGGUUAAAGAUAAAUCAGAAAUUUCCAAAUUGAAAAUGAUUUACAUGUUUAGUGAGUAUAAGCAGAAUAAGUACCUGAAAUCUUCAUCAUUGGCAAUCUUCUGAACUCUCCACUUCUUAAUUGGCCACUUAGAUAAAAUGGCAUUGCCAUAUUCUGGUGCCCAGCUCUCAGCAAAAACAUAUUUCAUCCCUAAGGAAGCAGCCAAAUCAGACAAGGGUCUCAUAGCUUUCUCUUCCUCUGCCUUGACAUCUUGCAGGGCUAAAAUAUCAGCAUCCACUUCCCUAAGCACUUCCAAUAUGCUUCUGCUGCUUUUCAAGUUCUCUUCACCUGUAAACUGAGUCAAGAACUUGGCAGGCAGGCACACCGGAGACCUCAACACUACACUGCUUCUAUAAUUUCUGCUAGCGAUAAUAUUUGAUGAUCCCACUCUUUCAUCUUCCACAAAGCCAAGUAAUUUACCAUGUGCUAUUGAAAUCUCGUUAUCAGGAAGAUUAAUGGAAACCUUCCGUCUUGAUAUUAGAUUCUUCUUUUGCGGGGAGAGUUGCUCCGGACUUCUCAGGCUGGCAUGCAACGGAGACUGCUUAAGAAUACUCUUGGGAUGAUAGUUCACAGACUUGGCCCGAGUGUCCACCUCCACUGGAUUCUUGAACAUCAUAAAAUCUUCGUCUUCUUGGCCGAAAACUACUGCUUCCUCAGUCUUCGGAACUGCAGGUGCAAGAGAGAACAUGGCGACAUUGAAAGUGGCAAUUCGGAUAGGCCUUUCGGAACUCGAAUCAUCUCGUUUGCGGUUCAGAUGAAUAGAAGAUUUAUGGAUGCCAGGUUUCCAUUUACAUCGAUCUUUGGGGGUUUUCCCAAACCUUCUGAUAAUAACUUUAGGUCGUGGACGUUUCCAUAUGAGCCGCCUUAUCCUUGAGCAGAGCUGCCGCAAUUUCUCGGUCACUGUACUUAACAUGUAAAAUGUUAAAUAUGUUGCUGCAAGAAUCAGGAUCUUUUGAACCUUUCUCAAUAUGACAAGAAGCUCAAGGCUUUCUAGUUCUCUCUUAUUACACUAUAAUUUGAUGCGAGACUGGCUUCAUGUCAACUAACUAGACAUUUUAGAAGUAGAUGGAAAAGUUGGGGGCCAAAACAAAGAUCAAUGGUGAAAAGAAAACAGCAUGGUAGUGAGAAAGUAGUUAAAGAGACAAAAGUGCUUUCCAACUGCUCCAAGAAGUGGGGUAGAGUUGACAAAACAGCACAUCGUCGAGCGCGUUUUCCAACAGCACACAAAAAACAGAUCAACUGCUACGGUACUAGUGAAUCUAAAAUUUCUGAAUAAUCUAAUCUGAAAAUGGAACCCACCAUGUGUAAGGAGGCAUCAAACAGGACUUUCACCAAAGUCUUCAAGACUAUAAUAACUUGAAAAAAGGGUGUUGCGUAUGAAUACAACUGAAACAAAUUUUCUUUGGUAGGUCUAGAUUUGGAUAUAAACCCCAAUGAUAUUUCAUAAAGUGUUGUCUUUGGACGAAAAAAUGAAGCAACCAUACAUAACCAUGUUGACUAAAGAAGCAAUUACACAUAAGAAUAUUUGUUAAAUGCCGGUUCCUUCAAGAGAAUUUUUGGCUGUAGUGGGAAAUGAAGGCCCAACUGUAAGCGCACCAUAAUCAGUGGCGAACAGUUAAAUGAGUGUGACAAGUGGUUUGGGUUCACACUUCACAGCCAGGCAGACUUGACUCUUCCUUAUCUACAAACCCACUGCCAUCUUUUAAUCCAGGCUUACGCCAGUAGUCGUUGGAGCCAUAAUUCCAUCCUGAAGGGUCUCUAAGUUGAAAUUAUGGGCACUACACUUAAAAAAUUGAAUCAAUUAUUUUUCCCAUUUAUAAUUUAUUUUUAUUAAUUUAUGAAUUUUAUAAAAUAAAUGUACCAUUUUCUCUUCCAGACGGCAACUUGAGGUGCUAUUGACCUUGCAAUAGGAACCCUGCCAAACAAAUUGAAUUCAGGAAUUUGAUCUAAUACCUGGCAUGCUAUUGAAUAUCUUCUAAAUAGACAAACACAAACUGCCAACCUGAAUGGAGAACAUGAAACAUAAAUAUAAUCCAGUCCAGCCUCUGCAAAGAAUGCGACAGAAGAAGGCUCCCCGCCAUGGUCUCCACAUAUUCCAAUUCCGGUUGUCCAUCAUAUACACACGGCCUUUUCCUGUGGCCAUCUUCAUGAGUUGGACUACACCUUUCUGAUCAAGCACCCACAUGCAAAACUAAUAUCAUCGAACAGCUUUAUCUAUUCUCCUUUUGGUACAUGAAUUCUGUCGACUUUUAAAAUAAUCAUCAUUUCUUCGUCAAUAAUAAAUAAACUUGCAGAUGCCUUUGGAUAGGCAUGUAUAUAUAUGGGGAUAAAUUUGCCAACAUCACCUCUACUAUAGCCAAACGUCAUUUGAUUGGAAAUAAUUAUCCUCGUCUUAUUCCUUGUGCAGCAUUAUUUUUUCCGCUACCGGAUCUCGAGGAGUAUCAGCAUUGGCCAUAACCUAUUGGGCAUCAUACAGCUAAAUGAGCAGAGAGAGUUCCGUCUACAAAUAGUAAUACAACACAAAAUUCUAGAUGUUGAGAGGAACAUAUCACAUUUAUGCAUCUCAUUUCAUCAGCCAAUGUUUCUAAACCACCUAUUAGAGCUGGGGGAGAUGAUGGUUGUUUUCGCCAUGUCAAUUCCCCUGUGCACCCAUUGAGUGAGAUCGUUCUCCUUCAUUAACCGCCAUAUCCCCAAAUUAACCAAGUUAUAGGUUUUUAAAAUUUUUAAGACUAUUUAAUCUUUAUAAAUUUAAUGAAAAUAAUUAUUUUUUUAUUUUAUUUUUAAAAUUAUAGUAGGAUUGUUAACUGUUUAAUCACCCUAAACUAUAAAAACUAAUAAAUGUUAUUUUAAAACUAUGUUAUCGAUUUUCAAAUUUUGAACCAUCCGCUGCAGCAUCUCUUAGUUUAUAACUCUCUCCAAACAUAUUUUAACUCUUUUGUUAUGUUAUUUGGUAAAAUACUAUUUAAACUCUGCCUAAUUUUAAUUAAUAUCGUUUGAUUAAAAUGAUAUGUGAGAAAAAAUAGAUUAAAAAAUAAAGAAUUUUAUUAAAAUUCUUUAAAAAUUAAAAAGUGAAUUUUUAAUAAUUAAAAAAAAUAUUUAUAAUUAUAAAAAAAUUUAAUAUGUAAAAUUAUAAAAAUAUUUAAAAAAUAAUUAAAAUAUAAAAUUAAUUUCUAAACAAUAAAAUUUUUAUAUUAAAUUUUAUAAUAAUUUUAUAAUUUUUGUCACUUUUAAAAUUAGUACGUUUCGAUUUUUUUUUAUAAAAAAUUAUCAUAAAUUUUAUCGAACGUGCACAAUAAAAAUUAAAUUUAAUUUAAAUUUAUCUGGAUCCAAAUGAAAUAUAAAAAUAACAAUCGAAUAAUUAAUAAUUUUGAAAGAUAAUAAUUAACUAUAUGACUUUUUUAUUGUUUUUUUAAACAUGCUAUAAUUUUUAUAUAGUGAAAAAAUAUUAGUUAAUUUUAUUAAAUAAUGUAUUUUCUCUAAAUUGUUAUUUUGUUUGGUGACGUUGCCCGCAGCUGACUGCGAAGUGAAGUCAAGGGAAGUAUGAAUUACCCUAUUUGCCCUUAUUUGUUAUCUGCUGACCUUUGGAUGGAAUGAAAAAUAAAUUCCAUCAGUUUUCGGUUUAGAUAAAAAAAAUUAAUUAAAUUAAAUUAAUAUAAAUUAAAUUAAAAUUUUUAUUUAUUUUAAUUUAAUUUAAAUUUUAAUUAAAAAAUAAAAAAUUAAAUUGAUUAAUAAUAAUAAUAUAUUAUUUUUAAUAAUAUAAAAAUUUUACUAUAAUUCAUAUUAAAAUAUAAAAAAUACAAUAAAAAUUUAAUUUAAUUUUGAAUUGAAGCGAUUAAUUUUUAACUGUUAUCCGGCUGCGAGUGAAUUAUAACGUACAACGUGGCAUCUUCUGAAAUAUACAUGUCAUCCGUUUCUGAAAAAUGCCUGACUGAUUGUAAAAUAUAAAUGAAUUUUCCCUCUCUCUAUAAAGAUAUAUAAUCCUCUUAAAGCUGUAAUAAAAUGGGUAUAUAACUUUCUGAAAUAAGCACCAGAAAAACCUGUAAUUAAAAGAAGUUACAUACUAUCUCCAUAAUUAAGAAACUUUUAUUUAUCUUUUAAAUGCAAUGAAGGAACGUUUUAUCCAUUACUAUUAUUAUUAUUAUGAAAAAAAAAGUGUUGGAAGUUUAAUCUAGAGAACUGGUGGCAGUACCUCAGCCUUGGACCAUUAAAUUAAAUAUUAAUGCAACUUAUUCUAUAAAAUAAAUAACAAUCUUAAGAUUGCAAUCACAGAUGUAUUAUUACCAUAAUCAUUAUGUAGAGCAGUCAAACAGUGAACCCCAUGUAAUUGAUAAAACUUAAGAGCAAGCAUAACUUACAAGAAUACGACGCCGAAUGGGGGUUCUACAAGAAGGGCAAUCCUUCAUUCCUUGUUUCUGAUGUAGUUCAUUACAUGUUGAGCAAACUACUUGAUGGGCACAUGGGAGGAAAACUACACACAUCUCCUCUGAGAGGCACAUCACACAUUCUCUCUCCCGUUUCACUCCUCCUGUGUUUAAGUAUUUCUCAACAUCACCAUCCAUUACUGAGUAAUAAGGCCUCCUCACCUCCUUUGCUGGACUAUACUUAACAUCUGUUACUCUGCUACCAUGGCUUUCAUUGAUGCCCAGUCGCAGGGCUGCAAUUUUUGACGAGUCCGUCUGGGAUAUUUCUCUUUCAAGCUUCUCAAUGUUAUCUUUGUACUUCUGCAAAUUAGUUUCAGCUUUCAAUUUAAUUGUAUCCUCCUCAGAUUUAGUUGAUGCCUCUAUUUGUUCCCUUUCUUUUCUUAUUGAACUGGCCUGCAAAACUAGUUCUUCCUUCGCCUUCUCUUCUUGUUGCCAUCUAGCCUGUAAUACGAUCAAAGUAAUGACUACUAGAGAUAUGAACUUAUUGAUGUGAAUGUAGGAUGUUCGUCCUAUUGAUAGUUAGCACCAGUAAUUUAACUUUUGAGGAACAAUUAUGAUAAACAAACAAACAAACAAAAAAAGAUUAAGAUAUGGUGCAACAGAUUAGAAUGAUACGGUAAACCAUAAACAUACACACAUUUAUCAACUGAUUUGAAGGUAAAGGCUGGAGAAAAAGGUGUAUCUUAUCAGCAUUUUUCUAUAAUUUUAUUUUAGCAGCACCUAGCAAAGUUGAAAUAACAAAUAAAGCGUGCAAUAGAACUAAAGAAAACUACGAUAAAUAAAACAGCAACAUAAUCGUUUUAUGCCAAAGAAAAAAAAAAAAAAAGAAUGUCUUACCAAAGAUAAGCUUACUACAUUCACAUCACCUCUGAGCCAGUACAUACCAAUACUGGCAAUGAGAUGUGCUGCUUUCUUUAGCAGCAGAUGCACUUAUUCUAUAUCAUACGCACGCGUAAUUACCUCCACAUGUGUGCUUACCAUAUCAAUUCCUCAUUGGGUGGAGGUUUGUAUAUUGUAUGCAUGUGCCUAUGGCAAAACCACCGUCAUAUAUAGGUCAUGAAAACUCGUAAUGAAGUUUAAUUUAAUGUCAAAAAGUGCAACUCUAGAAGUGAACCUACUUGGACAAUAUCUAUCCCUAUAUCCAAAUAAUUAUGUUUAGAAUUUAGAGCAGUGUCGCAUCCUGUAUAACCAGCUAUUUGCAACACAUUCUAAGUUACAAUGUACAACCAGCUCAAUAGAACCUGUUAAUGCCCACCAUAUCCAUUGAUUGGUCCAAUCAACUCAUGUUAUGUACACCAUGUUUCAAACUCAAGUGACUGGUUCAAACAUAUCCUGCAUGGAAGCUCCGACUGAAGAAAGAUGGAGCAAAAGGAAAUUGGAUUUAAAUGUUCAGAAGCAUACCUCAAGUUGUUCCUUUAGUUGCCUAGCUUGUUCUAAAUCCUGUAGUAGUUGCAUGACCUUGCAUUUUUCAGCUGCAAGUUCUUCCUGUAAAAGGGUUUUCUGCUUCUCCCAUGACUGAAACUUCAACUGCGUCUUCUUCUCCCUCUUUGAUACUUCUUGACAGUUUGCAGCUGACUCUGCUGCACGCAAUUUUGCAGCCUCCAUCUCUUGCCUCAGCAUAGCAUUCUCCACCUCAAGCCUCCGGACAGCAGAAUUAGCUCUCUCCACCUGACCACCAGCCUUGCCCAAUGCAUUUUCCAUCUCAGCGAGCUUCUUCAUGGUGUUCUCUUCCAGAGUUUGUUUCUCUUUCUUGAGCCAUUCAACUUCUUCCUUCUCCUGUCUAAGUGACUUAAGUUCAGCCUUAUCCUUACUUAGCCUUCGAGCAGCCUGCAUAACUUUCUGGUUUGCCCAUUCCGUCCAUUCUCGGAGCUGAUUUUGCAAUUCCCGUACCCUAGGGACCAGCUUCAUAAUCAUCUCAUCCUUCUUGUUCCUUGGAAUCCAUGGUGCCACUGACUUAUCAUAUGGUAUACCAGCAAAACUGCAAUUAGAUGCCUCAGCAUUACAAUUAGCAGAGAUUGGAGCACAGUUGCCUUUUGAAGGCAAUGAAAGUGAUAGCUCAAUAUCAGUAGCUGCCAAUGCAGGUGGAGUAUUGAGUGUAGGUAAUGCAGAUGGGAUGUUGACCAUGGAUAGUGUAGAUGGGACAUCAGUCUCUGACAAAGAAGUCACAAUAGAAGUUCCUAAAUUAGAUGCUGCUGGGGGAGAGCAUCCAGGAUUAUUUGAAAGAUUCUGGCCUCCUUUGUCUUGAGGCACAUCAACUCCCAUUACCUUACUCAAUCUUAAAGAAGCAUCAUUUAUUUUUAGGGCAGAAUCUGAAACUGAUUUUGCUUUCUUAUCCAAAAUCAAAUUACUCAAUUUCCCUGUUCUUGAUCCUUUAGGCCCAUAUGUUCUGUGGCCCUUGUCCAAAUGAAGUGACUUCUGUCGAAGUAUGUAUUCCCUCUUGCUGCUAUUGGAAUGAACCUUUCUACUGACUGUAAACUUUUCUUCAAACACAGGAGGUUGAGAAGUUCCUGCAAUGUUGAAAGAUUUAUCUGCAGGAUCACAUGUAGAAUUCAAUUGAUUUUUGUCUGAGACUAGUUCACUAAGAACACCAGAGUUGCUUGUUUUAGUUGUGUUGGGAACUCCUGUCAUAUUGUUGGGUGCCUCAGAUUCAGAACUAGGAGAACAAGGAACAGAAGGUUCAAAUUUGCAAGGAUUUGGAAGAUUCAAUUCAGAAUAUUUGCCUUCUUUUUUCAUCUGGGGUUGGAUAGAAGGAGCGGAAGCCCCAUCAGCAGCAAAACCAGUCAAGGAUUCACCAUCCACUGCACAAGCAAGAGAAACAUUCAUAUCACAAAUCAAUAAGCACCACAUUGCAUCCCCAGUGCUAAAGAAAGGCCUAACUUCUCGAAGUACACAAACCAAUUCCGCCAAUAUGUACUUCUCCAGCUGUUGUAAAUCCUCAAAACAUUGCCCCCUUGAAGGAUCAAUAUCUUGACCAUUCCUAAGAAAUGUUAAAGUAUUAUCCACAAUAUUUGACAAGGUGUCUUUACACCCAUAACAAAGACCGGACCUCAAAACAGCCUUUGUAGCAACUUCUUCAGUAUAACCGAAAGCAACAAUCUUUUUAAUGGCACUCUUAAAGAUUGCAUCCAAAUUGCCUAACACAAGUUCUUCUAGCUGGGAUUCUGUAAGAUCACUCCAAUCAGCAUCAUGGGAUUCUUCUGAUUCUAAUUCCUCUUUAGACCGGCUUGUUCCAACCUCCAACAAUCCUACCCGGCUUGUUCCAACCUUCAACCCAUCAGAAUUGUCUUGGUUAAUGCCACACUGACAUGAACUAGAUGGCCCAUGAACUGGGAGAGCUUCAAAUUUCUCAGCAGAGAAUUCAUAACCAGAGCAGUCAUUCUGAGGUGAAGGCAUAACCUUGCUGGGAUCACCCAAAGGUGGAUCAGCCCUGAAUUUUCUCUUAUUUCUGCUUCCAUUUUCUUGGACCGGAUGCAGUGGUGACACUUGACUGCUACAGUUACUAAUACUGGCUAUAGCAACCAUUGAUGCCAUUUUUCAGCUGCAUAAAGUUGAAAUAUUUCAAUUCAAUUGUUGAACUCAUUGAUCAUUCAUAUGUGAAUCCUCAAUAUACCACUAAUUAAAUGCAUCAAAAAGAAAUAAAGUAACAAUAAACUUUAAAAAUUCAAUACCAAACCCAACGCAUUAGAUCUUCUACUCGAACGGAUUCAUAUUUAACCAUAAAAAAUGCAGAAAUUCAUCUUUGCAUUAGAUAGCGGCGAGAAAACAAAUUACCUUUUUAUCUCCCUAUCAACCUUAACGAAUCAAAAAUCAAAUUUCUGCAUCAAAAAUCGCAAAAUCAAUCAAUAAACCAAGUGCCAGGUACGAAAAAUUAAUAAAGAUGGAUUAAAACAUACCCAGUUCAACAAACACAACAUUUCUAAAUCGACUAUAUCGAAUUCUAAAAUCAGGAAUUAUUCCAUAUAUAUAUAUAUAAAAAACCCAGAAAUGAGACAAUACACUGAUUAUAAUAUUGAAGAUCCACAAAGCAAGUAUGAGAAAUUGAGAUGUAUAAUUAUAAUCAACGAUCCAGACGUACCGGAUUUCGCAGCUUAUUGUUUGAGCAAAAACAAAGGUAUGCAAGAACAAUCUAAGAAAAUUGAAGGAAAAAAAGAAUACAGAACAUAUAUGGCUCUUUUUGGAAUUGUUAUUGAAUUCCUUUUUUAUUUUUCCCUGCUGGUAGAGGUAGCAGUGAACGCCCCCUCAGUCUCUGUAUAUAUGGUGGGGUGGCCUUCGAUGAAUUUUAUGAUUUCUUGUUACUCCUUUACUAUUACAUCUUAGCCGAACUAAGUGCCCUCGUUUACGUCUAUUUCCUAUUCUAAAUUAACCAGUCUCAGAGAAAAAUAACUAAAUUAAAUAAAUAAAAAUAUGACAAUUAUAUCUAAUAAAGAAUAAUAUUAUUUAUUCGUUUCUUUAAAUUUUCAUAAUUUUUUUAUGAAGUUAUAAUUAUUAUAGUUUUUCUAUCUGAUAUUAACCUUUUAGUGAAAGCUUUUAUCAUAUUUAUGUUUUUUAUUUAUUGAGAAUUAGAGACUUAAAUAUAUUCCAUAAAUAAUAUACUUUUAAUCAUUUAAAAAAAUUAGAGCAAAUAAUUGCUAGAAAAUAUAAUUGUUUCAAAAUUUAUGAUAUUUUAAAUUUAAGAGAUGAAUUUUAUUAUAAAUAUUAUUUAAAAAUAAUUAAUUAAAAUAAUUUGUAAUAAAAAAAUUAAAUGAAUUAUUUUAAAAGUUGGAGCUAGAAUGACAAAACAUAUAUAUAUAUAUAUAUGGAUCUCGAGAUUUAUAUUAUGAUAUUUGAUUUUAAUCUCACUUCUAUAUGGCGAAAAAAAUAAUUAUUUUAAAAAAUAAAAAAAAAAUAAUAUUUUGUUUGGUCAUGUAUUUAAAGUUGGAAGAAAAACAAAAUAGGACGUGUGUUUUGAAGUUUAUUAAGUAUAGACUAUAUAUUAAAUCGAUUUAGUAAUUUAAUUUUUUUUUACAUAUAAAAAUUAGUUGAAAAUAUUUUGAAUUAUAAAUAUUUAAAAUAAUAUUUUCAUCAUUCAGUGCUGACAUGGCUGUGAGAAAUAGAAUAGCCGCACCGACAUUAAACUUACGGGAAAUUCAACAUUUGAACAGAAAAUAAUAAUAAUUAAUAAAUUUCCCACUUUCUAACGUUGUUGAUCGCUUCCACGGCCCAAUCAAUUGCAUUUCCAUCGCAACAAUAGCAGCCAGCACUUCAAGCGAGCGACGGAGAAUGGUCGCUUUGAAUGUUGCUGUUGCUUGAUGGAAUGACCCCUCUAUCAAGUAGGGUUUGGUCUGUGCAGCUGUUGGCACUCUUUCUUGGAUAUAGCAUUUUUGUUGACCCUUGUUUUUAUAUAGCUCCGUGUCACCUAUGAGCUUGAAUAUUGGGCUUCUAGGCCUAGUCCCGUGCUAUUUUCCGCCAUUAAUGCAAUUCCAUCUUUGGAGGAAUAAAAAGAGAACUAUGAAAUUACCACAGGAGAAAAACGAGAUUGGACAAUAUUACAAGUACGAAAAUUCCAUGGAAGAGAAGACAAGGAAAUCCAUCUAAAAUUUUACCAUAGACACUAUUAGAGUUUAUUAUUCAUCCUUGUCAUUUGGAAGCUAUUGCUCAUAGCAGGUGGUAGCUACUUGAAUAACUGGUAAGAACAGGAGUCUUCUUUUUCCUUUUUCCUUUCAUCAUGACUGCCUUCAUUAUCUUCAAAUAGAGAAUUAAUUUGGUGGAAUAAACUUGAUUGAGAUGCUGUUGACACAAUGACGUUCAUCUGUAGGAGUCUUGUACCCUUCACCUUUGAAAACAUGACCCAAGUGCCCCCCACAAGCUGCACAUGUGAUCUCAGUUCUUCUCCCAUCUGCGUCUGGCUGAAAUCCAUUGUUUCCAUUUUUCAAAAUUCAAUCAAAGAUGCAAAUAAUUAGUCAAGACAUUAAGGUUUAAGUAAGAUUUAAAAAAAAGAGAGCAGAACUCACAGAGCGAUUUAUGGCUCCAGGAAGACCUUCAUAGAAAGCAGGCCAACCACAGCCAGAGUCAAAUUUGGUAACUGAUUUGUAAAGUGGCGUCCCACAACCAGCACAAUUGUAAACUCCUUCACCAAAGAAUUUAUCAUAUUCUCCUGUGAAUUUCAGCCUGUGUCAUGUCAUCAACACAGGCACAAUGAGAGAGACACAUCUUAAAGGUCAGCGACAGGCUGCCAUGAGAAUCUUAGCACAACAUAAUUAUGAAACAAACAUUUAAAUCCAGACUCAUUGCUAGCAUACAUUCAAGAGAAUAACUAAAAGCAGAUACAUGAAAAUAAAAGUAUAUGACCAUGAGAAGAGCCAGUCAUGACACAGAAAAUGACAGAAGCAAAUAGUUAAAUUCCUUCAAAUUUUAGUUUGUUAUAGUGAACAACUAAAGUUUGGAACAAAUCAAGAAACUUUUCAUCGCACAAUUGUUUGGUUAUUCCAAGUUUCAAGCAAAGACCAAGAGUAGAAUUACAGUACAAGCAAAAAAUUUCCGGAACACAAAAAGUUGAAGUGAACAAAUAAGCUUUUAGAUAUACAAGAGAAAUGAAACAAUUCACUAAAAAACGCCGUCACUUCUUCUGUUGUAAACGGAUUCGGGAAGCAUAAUUAUUUUCACAUGCAAACUGAACUGAAGUAGAAUCACAGCAAUACCCGAAAAAUCAAGAAUCUCAACGCUUGGCCAUAGCUAGAUUUGACCACUUGGACAAAUUCAAAUAAGAUCGAAUGGCAAUUCCAAUAAUCUAAAAAGCUAGUAAGACAACUGAAAUAGAAGAGUUGAAAAUAAUCAAACAUUAACAGACUAAUUGAUUUGAUAUGAAAUGAUAAUAUAAUGGAGGAGGAUAGAGGAAAAUUUAGGAUUUACUCGGUUCCUUUCUCCCGGAGAACACGAAACUGCUCGGGGGACAGAAUAGCCCGCCACUCUUCCUCCGUCUUCUGAAUCAAAGCCAUUGCCAAGUAUGAAUGAUUCUCUUCCCUUCAGAGAGACUUGAGUUGAUCACUCGACUCGACCGAGCCCAGAUGUUUAAAUAUCUGCACCCUAAAAUAGGCUAGCAGGGAUUCGUGGAAUGUAUGAAGACGGAAUACAGGGCAAAUGCAGAUGUUCACUCCCUGUACUUGUGGGAAAUGCACAUCCCCCCUUACAGUAUUUACAGUCGAUUACCAAGUUUGACAAAUUUUGGUAGGAUUUUUUUUUUUGUCGAAAAUAGGAAAUUAUUGGGAUUUGGACACGUAUUAUAUUUUAAAUAAUAUCCAAUGAAAUACAAACAAUUUUAAAAAUAAAAGAAAUAUAUAUAUAUAUAUAUAAACUAAAUGAAUUUAAAUAAUGAUAAGAAAAUAUAAGAUAUAUAUAAAUAAUUUAUAAUAAAUUAGUAUUACGAUUUGAAUAUUAAAAUUAUAAAUAAAUGCAAUUAAAAUUUAAAGCAAAUUACUCUCGGGGAUACGUGUGAGUUCAAUCUGUUUGCUAGUACCAUUAUGCUUAGGAUAAAUGAAUAAAUUAAUAUAAGCAUCAAGUAAAUAUAAUCAAACAUGAAAAAAAGAUCUAUUUUAAAAUAGAUAAUCCAUUUAUUUUUCACUUGUUAAGUGAAUCAAUGCCUUGCUGGCUGCUGCUACUAGGAUCAGGCAUGAUUCUCUGAACAAAGCAUUGAUGACAAGAGAUGCCAAAUAUCAGGAAUAAUAUAUUACCCUAUUAAUAGAGAUAAAGAAGACUAGAGGAAGGAGGGAGGGAGGAUCAUAACCGGCAGCAGAUAUCAAAGCAAACAACUUUAUGAUAUUUUUUCUUCCUGAAUACAAUGUGAAUGAGAAACUAUAAUAUAGCUUACGCAAAUUUACAAUUAUCAUUUCCCAGCCUCCAGGAAUCUCCCUCCAACUUUGCUACCCAAGUCCCCCGUCUUUGGAUCUACCAGCUGCUCGGUAUGACAGCACAAAGGAGAAGUAUUCUGUUCUCCUCAAGCCAUUUUGUUGGUUAUUGGCAGUGUUUCAGCAACAUUGCUCAGAAACCAUGGCUUGCGUGAAGAUCUUCGGUUCAGUAUAUCUUGUAUGCGGAACAAACUCAGUUUCAAUCCAGGAUCAUUAACCCCCAUCCUGAUACAAGCCAAAGCCAAAAGCAAGUCAAAUCAUAAACCAAGAAAUGACUGCAUUCUUUAAAUCACAUCGGGAUGCAAUCAGGAAACAAGUAUCUAAAAGAAAGAGUUCACUGGGUGCAAAACUACAGAAAAUGAAACACAGAUUCUGAUGCAGCAAAGGAAAAGGAAUUGCUCAGCAACAAUGUAGAGGUAGCAAAGUUAAGACUGCCAAGAAGACCCACCAAUUCCAGGGAUCUCUGAUGAGAUGGAGAUGGAACAACAAUAGCUGCACUUCGGCUAGCUGAAAGUUGCUGAUCUGACAAUUCACUCCUCAUUGAACGGUAAAUCUCAGACCCAGAGGCAAUAGAAAAUUCAGAAUUCUCUUUUCUCCUUGAACUCAUUGGGUUCCCAUUGACUUCAACAGUCGCAUCCAUAGCAUCAACACCUGGCUAUUGAUUAGAACUAAAAUUAGAAAUGACAAGCAACCAACGGCCCCUUAAACAUAUGUGGCAGGAGCAGAGUGCAGGCAUAAUUACUAAAUAUAUUCUCUUCAUUUUCUUCCAAGUUAUGGAUUCAAUUAAGCUCACUAAAUGCCAAACAAAAUUUAACUAAAUGCCAAACAAAAUUUAACUAAACGCCAAACCCCAUGGGUGCUACCUUCCUUGGGUUUCAAAAUAAAAUCAAGAUAAAAGAAAAAAGUAUAUAUUAAACUGUUGACGUUAGAAAGUGUUACAUUUUUACACAGUGUAGCAAUUUUUGGGAGCUUUUGAAAUAAAACACUUAACUUGAAACAGGCAGAAAUUAUGGCAUCAAACUUAACCAUUGGAAAAGGUAAUUAAGAAGCAACAGAGGGACAAGAUGGUCUUCUUAAUACUUACAUAAGAUGGGUUUUUAAUCUGUACAAUAAUAAUUGUAAUAUCAUCUGUCCGACUUUCAUGCUCCAGCCAUAGUUUAUAUGACUCUCCCGCAAUGGCUGCACAUGCAUCUCGGGGAUCGGCAUAUCUUGCUGCCUAUAGAGAGAGAGAGAGAAAAGGCAUUUCUAAGGGACGGAACAACAGGGGCAAGAGGAGUGGUAAAAAAAAGGGGGAAAAUUGAUAUGACAGUUGGCAACCAUGAAAUUCCGGAAAAAGAAUAGUAGUUAGAUCAGAACUGCUAUAAAGUAAAAAGAGCAAGCAAUAUAGUUUUACUAUAUCAACACAUUUGAGAAUCAAAUGGUGUCACAGUAAUAAUAUACCGAGAAAAGAAGCGCACUAUGGUCAUAAAUGCAUACCAUAUCAACAACAGCUUGGCUUGAGAGGAACUCAAAAACUCCAUCACUUGCAACCACGAAGAACAAAUGAUUGGGCAUGAGCUGAACAAUGGAAACCUCUGGAUCAACAAUAACGCCAAUCGUCUCAGCUGUACUAUCCCCUACACUUCUCGUAAAUGCAGUCCCCGGAUACAUCCCAUUCUGCACCCACAACCUUGGAGGAUCUCCCCCUUGACUUUCCUCAUCAUCCCAUAACUGUAUAUCAGGAUCCUUGUACCCUUCCACUUGAUCAACACUCAGAACUCUAGCCCCACAUAAUUUGACUCUGUCGUACUCAUCUUUCCUAAAUGGGGUUUGAUCAUUAGACAAAUCUUCAGCUAUAAUUCUAUUCCCAUUUUUAACAGCAAUUACUGCUCUGGAAUCACCCACAUUGGCAACAUAAAUCUUAUCUCCAAUAACAAGAACAGUUAUAGCAGUGGUACCACUCAUUGUAUCAUCAAUUUUACUACUAUGUAACUCAGAAUUCAUCCUUAAAAAUGCAGAACUAUAAGCUUUAACAGGGUCAUUCAACAACGAGGGAUCAUCUGCUAAUAUCUCCACUAACCUAUCCUUAACGAAAUUUGAACAUUCAGCACCAUAUACACCAUGGCCAUCAAAUACACCAAAAAAAUGCAUAUUAGGGUUACCUUGAAUUUGAGUUCUAAUGCAGAAACUGUCUUGGUUUUCCUUGUCUGGUGAGUCUGGGUAGUAACCUCGCUGAGUCAGAACAGAGUACUGCAACUUUAAGUUAUGGGACGGGACAGGAAUAAUCUCCAGUGAUCUCUGAGUGAGUAUGUGUUUAUUACCAACAUGUUCCGCUUCAUGGUAGUCCUUUGAAUCACCAUCUGUUGAUGACGGGUAGCGGCUACAACACUUGCCGUGGACACAGCCCAUAUUUUUGGUAGGCAAUCGAGGGGUAAAAAAGAGAAAAUUUUCGAACUUCAGACUUGCUGUUUGCUGAAUGCCCUAAAGAAACACGAACCUAUCUGGAUUUGGAUCUUAAAAUAGCAGAGAUGAAGUUAUGAUGGAAGUGGUCGACUGGGCUUUCCUCUAAAUUCGACAAUGAAGCUCCGGCAAGAGUAAUUUUGAGGCGAAUUCAUGUAGAGAAGGGCCAAGAGGGAAGAACGAACAAACAAACCCUAGGAGCCAAAUAACCCAAAAACUCACUUCUAAAGAGAAAAUUUGCUUAUAAAAUAAUGAUGAUCUACAUCUGGGUUACACCCAAGAAAACAUUCUCUAUGGAAAUCAUUCACAGAUUAGAAUAUCCUGCACAGAAGAAACGAAUUCUUUUUCCCUCAAUAAAACUAAAGAAAAGUAAAGCUACAGAGAAGCAAAAGUGAGUAGCAUUUUAGCCGCAGAGAAACGUCGGGGAUCUGCUGCUUUCAUGAGGUUUGGAAAGAAAAAGAAAUGCAGGCAUUCUGGUUACCAGAUCAGGGCUCAAGAAGAAGAAGAAAGGAAGUAGCAAUGUAAAGACUGAAGUAAAUGAAAGCCACAAGAAAGUAAAGAAUAUGACAAUGAGGGGUUUGAUGAUGACGCAAAUGAAGGUAUUCCUUUCAACAGAAAGCGAAACAGAGAGAUUCGAUGUGCGCAUGGGUGGAUUUUGUUUGUACAGAGACAAGAGCCCGUCUUCCAAGAAAACAACACAGAGACACGGAGGAGCCAAGUGAGUGAGGGAGGGAGAGAGAGAGGGAGAGAGAGAGUAUUGCCAAAGACCAAGACCAUGCAUUAAUCUCUCUAAAGAUUUUGGCUUUCUUCUUUUGCGUGUGCCAGGGAACAAGACCAGACACAAGUCGAUCGCUUCAUUUUUCUUCCAUUUUUAUAUAGUUUCUUCUUUGGAUUGCAUAAAAUUAAAUAAACUUCCUGCCCUUUUUUUAAUGAAAUUUCCUCCCCUGCGUUUUUACAAAGUUACAUUAAAAGUUCAACAUUUAUACUGUUACAUAUUACCAUUAUCAAUAUGUAAAAAUAUAAAGGACAUCAAGGGCUCAAUUCGCCUGGGGAUGCGCCUUUCAUAUGAAAUCUACUUCGAUCGCUCUUGGCUCAUUUCAGACUGGUAGCUGGAUGAAGAUGACAUGAACGUGGGCUUUUCUUUUCCUUAUUCUUCAGUUGGAACUAGUCAAAUUGAGCUCUAUUGUGGACAUGCCUUGUUUUAUCCGGACUCUGGUCUGGUGCCUUUUCCUCCAUCAGCUCUAUUCUGUUGUUUUUCAGGUUUGUGCUGCUUGCUUUGUUAUCUUUCCCAAGCAUUAGCUAGAAAUUAGAUGAAUGGGAUAAUAGUCUUUGUUCCGGCCGAUGACGAACUGAUGGUGCUCUUUAAAUGGUUUGGCGGAGGGGUUAUCUUGAUUUACUACUUGUACUCUUUGAGAUGAACUUAUAAAUAAUUUAAAACCUUCCAAACAAAACAUUCAACACAAACAAGUAGCAUACUUUAAAAACCCUUUCCUUAUUUUGCAAAACUUGAUCGCAUACAUAUCUGUAGUUUUAUUUAGAACCUUUAUAUUUUGAGCCUUAAAACUAAUCAUUAAUUAUAAAUUAAAAAUCUUUAUCUUUUGACUAAAAAGAAACCUUUCUCCUACUCUAAACAGUAGUAAAUUGCUUAAUUUAUGAUUAGUUGGAUAAAUUAUUUCACAUGGAGAUGGACAUCUUAUGGAUUAGGUAUAUGUGUUGGAUUUUGUUUCAGCACUCUUUCUCCCCAGAAUUAGCUGGCAUGGAAAUGAUGAGAAUAUGAAGAUGGAGGUGAAUGAGAUAACCUCACAAGGCCAUAACACAACAACAACAACAAUAAUAAUAAUAAUAAAGUCUCCUUCACAGUUCACAGACAGCAGAGAGAAAGGGUUAGGGAGGAGGGUGAGAAAAGCUGAUGAAGCAAAGGUUUGUCUUUGAGAGUGUUUCAAAGCAUAGUUCCAAAAGUGCUUUUUCGAAGAAAAAGGUAAAAGUUUCUAGAUGAUGAGGGAACCAAAGUGUGUCUCCACUUCCUCACAUCACCUUAUGCUCCCAUCAACCAUAUGCUCCCACUUUUUAAACCUUCAUUUUGUUAUUUUCUUCAUCACUCUCUUUCCUUUCUUAUCAUAAUCUCUCUUUUUUUUUUUUUUCUAAUAAUUUUAUAAUAAUGUUUCCCUUUUAUCACUUAAACUUGUAAUCAUUUCAAAUUAUUGCCUCUCCUGUUAUUAUUUUCUUUUUUUUAUUACUAAAAGUUACAAAUCUAUAUAUUCUCAUUGAAAAUUGUUUAUAUAGAUGUUGAGGCUAAUGAAUGUGGGCUUCAAUAGGUCCAACCCACCAAGGCUCCAACAAAAACCCAUAGAAUUGAAGCCCAAAACUUGGAUUUGUUUGUCUAGUCAAUAACCAAAAGAGCCCACUAAAUUGUGAAUAUCAAAUGAUAACUAUUUCAUGUUAUCAAAUGCCAUCCACCAUUAUUUGUUUUAUUUUGCACUUGAAUAUAUUUUAGAUCAAAGCAUAUGGUUAAGUGACACGUAUUCUAGUUUUUCUUUAUAUAUAUAUAUAAAAGAGAAAAGAUUAUUGUGUAAUUAUGACAGCAAGAAGUCACUGCCCAGUUAAUUUUCCUACCCCACUUGUUUAAAAGCAAGAUUAACUACCCUUUUGAAAGCAAAUCAUAAUUACUUAAGUUAGUUAACCAAAAUAAAUUGUCUGUUUAGUAUUGUUAAUGAAAUCUAAUUGAUUCCCACUAACAUUUUUCCAAAAUCUCAAAUAGUCAUCUUUUGCCAUGAGCUAGGCUGAUGAGGCUCCAUCAGUGCUGUCUGUAGAAAGAUGAUCAAAAUUGCAAUUUACUUGUAUGUUUUGAUGCACAAUCGUUAAAUGUGAUGCUAUUGGAUUUUUUUUUGUCUGGUUUGCAAUAGUUUAUGCUUAGCUAAAACCAAAGAAAAUUUGGAGGUGACAUCACGUAGAUGGGUAUGCAAAUGUACACUUCUGAUUUGGACGCUGGCCCAUCAGGAAUUUGCACUUGAUUUCUGACUAUUUAGGUCUGUAAUGGCUGGAAGUUAAAAAUCUAGUUUAUGCAGAAAGACCCAGAAGCCCAUUACGGCUCCAACCCACAAACUAUUUCAGGGAGAUCAUUUGUCCAGUGAUCAGAGACAGAAGCCAUUAACUUAGGAAAAAGUAAUACAGCAAGCAGAAAUGUACAUUCAAAAUGCUAAGCAAAAAAAUUCAUCAGUAACUUGAAGACGAUAGCUUCUGCUUUAUUAGAGUCGUCGUCGACAUAGAGGCAAAUGAGGGUUAUUGAGUUAAUGCCAUAAACACAAAAUGGCUCCUAUGCUCAGGAAAGCCCAUUUUCGCAUAUUCCCCUGAAAUGGGCUCGCACUUUACCAAACAAGCCCUUAAUUUGUAAGCCAAUAGUAAUACUAAUAACCAUGCUCUGGCAUGGGAUAUGUUCCAGUGUUAGAUCAAUUGAUUAGAAAACUUGAGGGGUUUUUCCAAAAGAAGAGAAAAGGAAAGCAAAGAUGUUGGUUUGCUACGUGUAUCUCCAUAACUGUGAAGCAAAUGAUUCUUGGGACAAAGCGAUCGAGAAGAAUAACGCAUGGCCAAUUAUGGUCACGUGACAGAUUCUGUAUUAUAAUGGGACAAAGAGCUGUUAGAUUGCAUCAUGAACAUGGGUCUGUGGUGACUUCCACGCCAGAUGCAUAAUCAUCGUACCCAAAUCAUAUCAAUAUAUAUUUUUUCAUGAAAAAAAUUAAAAUAAAAAGAGAAAUAUUCCCAUGCAAACCCAAACCAAACUCCUCUUGAAACCUAAUACCCACCUUUCUUUUCCCUUCAUAUAUAUUUCUUGGGAUUCAGCUCUGACAUGCACAUAUAAACAUUAAUACUGAAUUGAGGAGAAAGAGAGGUGUCAUCAAGAGUGUUGAUUUCAUAAGAACAAAUUGAGGAAGGUAGAAAAAAAAAUUAAUACAAAAGAAAUUUAAGUUCAUAUAAACCUGAAAAAUUAAACAAGAGCACUACACAAGCUCAAAAAUCUUAGGCGUGACAAGCCUAAGUGGGGUGAAUUAUCAUGAAAGAUAGAUCCCAAAUGCUCACUCUCUACUUCCACAUCAUCCUCUCAUCUCUAAAUCUUCCCCACUUUUAUCUUUCUACACAAGUCAAACCAACAUUCAUGAAACCACCCCCCCCCUCCCCAAUUAACCAAUCAUUUCUCUCCACGUAAUCACUUCCCCUCCAUCAUCCGCCCUAGUAAAAAUUUUUCUACUCAUCUCUAAACGCCUAACCCUCCCCUCAACAUAUCUACCAACCCAUUUUUUCCUGUUUACUUCCGGCGGACUGUGAACGUUUGAAACACCACACUUCCGCUGUCUGGAAACUCAUCCAUCGCGCAACUUCUGCAUUUCAUUCCAAGUGGCUCCACCGCGUGGGCAAUUCGUGUCCAAACUUCGUGGCUCGUGCAUGUAGUAGAGACUGACAUGGUUGCUGGCCGGAAAACCUGCACCACCUUCUUUAAAGUCUCAGAUAUGUCAUCAUUAUCGUCAAAAAUGGACCCAACACACUCAAAACUUGCAUAGCUGUAACCAUCCUCUGGAGUGACAUGAAUGGUAGAGUAACGAUCAUUAUCAAUCCCAUUCAUGGAGUAUCCACAAGGGUCAAAUGCAAAAUCACAAAUGAUAGCUGCUGGAUUGAUAUCAUCUAUACCGGUAAGUUUCGUCAUCUCUUUUCCAGCUACAUCACCGUCCUUGCCAUCUCCAGGAGGUUGAAAGAACUUGCGAGCCAAGACACGGUCGAGUUCAGUCAUACACACCUCUACAGUGUAGAGAUCAUCGUUUUGGGAUAUUAUAUGAUUUUGGUCACUAGCAGUGAAGACAUGCCACGAAUGAGAAGUCUUUUUAGAGGGCAUAACAGAGGCUUUUCUAAAACAAAGAUUGGAAGGGAGGUUCUCUUCAAGGUAAAUGACUUCUUCUUUGAAGCUGGUGUGAGGAAAGGGCUGUGACUUGGGGAAGAUAAAGCUGCCUCUGGUGUACCUACAGGAGCACAAAGUGAGGCCGAGAUUGCAAGCAUAGUGUAACAAUGGACGGAUGGAUUUGAGGAGUUGGGUGGUCCCACAUGUCUUGAUGAUAAUCUUGGUGGGGUAGACAAAGAGGCUUGAUUCUGAUAACACGUAGGCAUCAAAAUAGUGAUUCCCAACAGCAGAUACAACAGUACAUUGCACAGCAUUUAAAACUUUCACUAACGACUCAAAAUCAAGAAGCCUAAGGCCCAUAUUAUCCACCACAGGAUCAUCACCGAAGAAAUGAAGCUCCAGGCGCUUCUCAAAGCCUUCAAAACCAGAAACAGCCAUUAAUGCAAGUAUAGCAAGGAAAGAAAGAAAGAUCACAAACACAAACUGAAUAUCUAGAAGCUAGAAAGAAACCAAAACAAAAGGCAGGGAACAGAGGAAAUUGCUAGGAGAGAAAGAUCUCAAGGGAGUGAGGGACUACAGGUGAGAGAGAGAAGAGGGGUCUGUAUGGGAUUUUAUAGGUGGGUAACAAUAGGAGAUUUGAGAGAGAGAGAGAGAGAGAGAGAGAGAGAGUGGGGUUAGAGAGAGGGAGAUAGUGAGUGAAGGAGAGAGAGGGGGCAUGCGGGUGAGGCAACCAAGAAUCAUGAUUGCAGGCAUAAUGAAGUGAAUAAGAGGAUGAUAUGGUUUCCAGACAAAAAAAUAUUAAAAUUUACAUCUAAAAUAAAAUCCUUUUUUUUUUAGACAAGAACAGGGGAACGGAUUUUAUACCCACGCUGUUGUUUGUCCAUUUUCUCACAGCUACUGACUACUGAAUCUUAGUGUGUUCUGCCAAAUUUCCAGUAUCAGUUUCCAGCAACUAUGUACAUCUUCCGUAGCACUACAAAAAACAUUUUCUUACAUUUUCCUAAGACAAAUUUCUCACUGCAAAUGACUACUGGUUUUUUAAUUUAAUAAAAAAUAAGUUAGGAUGAUUAAGAAAACAGUGGAAUAAGAAAUAGGAAAUGAAAAGAGAAAUUAGAAAUGGGGCCAGGUCAAGAUGACAUUCAACAUUCACAAUUAGAAACCAAUUGAUAUGCCAAAGUCAUUCGCAUUGACACUUUUUUAUGGAACACAAACAUAAUCAUAAGCUGGAUCUACCAUAUGUUUUUACAAUAAUUAUUAGAGUCGCAACCAAAAAUUUAAAAAAUGAGAUCUUAAUUUGCCGUUUAUAGGCCAUCUCAAGUAGCUAGCAACACCAAGCACAAACACACCAUAAUGAAAUUAUACAUACAAAGCUUCCAUUGCUCAAAAGCAUUUCUUGUAAUGUCUUAUGGCUAUUGGAUAAUAGAAAGGUGAAAACUAUAGUAUGAUAUGAAGCAUGCACCAUUUCGCUUUCAAAAUAAAUUAAAAGCAAUGUUUUAAUAAACAAAUACGUGCCCAAACAUUAUAUGCAAGUUUAUAUAAAACAAAAACAUUGUUUAUAUAAUUAAUUAAUAAACUUAAUUAGAAAAUUAUUAUUUUAAAUAUGAUCUUCAAUAGUUUUGAAUUAAAUAAUAUAUAUACCAAAGUAAGAGUAAUUUCAUAUAAGAAUGAGAAUAAUAAUCCUAAAUUAGAGAGAUAUAAUACUUGCAUCAUGCUUAUUCUCCAUGCAAUAUUUCUUGAAAGGAGGCAUCAUCAUAUUAAUGCAAAAUUUUUAAUAAUACAGUCUCAAUUAAAGUUCAAAUUUGCCGACCAUUUAUGUGUGCAUAAUCAUCAUUUUAAUUUUUCAAUUUCCCAUAAAUGCAUCAACUAUUUUCUUACAUAUAUAAUAUAAAAUUUUGAAUUUUCAUAAUCGUAAUUAACCUUUUUUUGUAUGGAUACUAAAAAGGAUAUGGGUUUUGAAAUAGCAAUGAAUCUAGCUGAAAAUACGAAGAAUUAGUGGAAAUGGAGUAAUUAGUGCUUGGUAGGCCUAUGUAGAUUACGUAAUUGACUUGUCUACUUGGCUUAUAAUUUAAGAUCACUUUGCAUACCCAGCAAGAGUAUUUGUAAUAAUUAAUAAUACAACAUGAUAAAGUCUAGGAAAUUAGUAAUGAAUGUUUGCUGUAAUAUUAAAACGUAGAGGAGAGGAGAUAUAUAGAAAUACAAAACAAAGGCGAGGAGAAAAUGAGCAGAGAAAGAAGAGUGGGAAAGGCAAUGAUGGAAAAUGGUGAGUUUAGAAUCAAAGUUAGGAGUUUUUAGGGUUGGAAAUGAUUCAGAAUGUAAGCGUCAUGAAUAAUCUUAUGGGGGUGUGGCUGGCAACCUCCAUUAUUACCACACAAUUCCCACAUCCAUCUUCAGCUGCACGCGCACCCACCAAACUCAAACCCACUAAGCCUCUUUUUCUACAAGGGUCAACCAAAUUUCCAACUACAAUACCAAAUAUUGAAUCAAAUCUUACUUAAAAAGUCUCAACCUUACUCGUCUCAUCUUCUUCCUCAACAAAAGUUCCUGCCUUUUACAUCAAAAGGUGCUACCAAAAAUCUUCUUUCUUAGGAUGAGUUUCGGAAAGAUAGCUAAAAGGGUUUCUGGAAAGAGCUAAGAGAGAAGUGAUAAGACACUAGAUAAAUAAUAACGAUCCUGUGUUUUGGACCCACUAGUCACCUUUUUAACCCUAACCCCCUUCCACCCAAAUCAUGGAGCUAGCCUUAAACCCAUGAUUGGUCCCACUAUGUGUCCCCGACAACCGCCGUGGCUGGACCCACAUAACUACACAUCAUCUAUUGUGUGCCCUAACUUCUUGGCACACAAGGGGUCCAUAGUUGAUGUAGGGUUAUAUUUGUUUUUGGGACAUGGAGUCCCCACAAAGGCGGUCCUAGGUUGGGCAGACAUUUCAAUCUUGUUGGGCAUGGAAACAAGAUGCCUUUAGCCGCCAUACAUUGCCUUGCAUGCGCACAUUUGUAACACAUGUGGGAAUUUAUUUGAUGCAGAGUAUUUAGGUAUUUUCAUGGGUAUUUUUUCUGGAGCACUAAUGAGAGCUAGCAAUAGCAUUCUCCUGUGGUGUGAGUGCUACUGUACCAUGCGUACAAAAAUUUUGACAAAAGGCCCACCACCACUGUUGUUUGGAUGUGGCCACUGUGAUAAUUUAGUGCCCAAAAAGUUAUGAGAGAUUUCAGAGACCUACCAAGCUUCACUCUCAUUCUCAUGGGAUUCCAAUAAUAAUCUCAAAGAAAUCUUUUUCUUGGGUGUUUAUUUGAGGUCAUGCCAAUAUCAAAUGGUGUCAUAUGAUAAGUCUUUGUCCUUUCGUUUGACCCUUUUUAAUUUAUUUGUCAACAGUGAGAAAACCACAGCCUCUCUGGUUUCACUCAAAUCAAGAUUCUUAACUUUAUAGAUAUAUAUAAAUCUUUGGUUACUAUUAUUAUGUACUUUUUUAGUACAAUUCAUAUCUUUUUCUUCUUGACUAGAUAUAUAUUAACCUAAGAAUUCAUAUUUAAUUAACAAAAUUACAGUCAUAAGAAAAAUUGAGUUAGAAGUGUUUCUAUUAUUAACUGGUGGAUGCAUAUAUCUUUCAUAUUUUUCCUUAUUUUCUAUAAAAAUAAAAAUAAAUAAAUCCCAAAAACUCUAUAAUUAAUUAAGCAAAUACGUAGUAGCAUUAGAAAAGGAAAGUGAUUAAAAAAAGAGAUGGGGUUCCGACAAGCAUGAUAAGAUUUAUGAGGCAAACAACUCAUGUUAGGAGUUUUAAAAAGUGGGCAUAAUCGAAGAAGGGAACCCAUGUUUGCCCCCACAAUAACAAUACUAUCCCCAAGCUCACACAAAUUCUCUCUUUCAAUGCCAUUCCCAUUCCCAUUUUUCAAGAGAUAGCCUCACCAUCAACCCACAUCAUUCCUCGUGCUUCCCUUUACAAACCAUUUUAUUUUUUUUUUACACUAACUGUUCAAAUCUGCUCAAGUGGUUCUCCAAUAAGAAGCUGUUAAGUGUGUGAUUAGGACAUCUUUAGUCACUGCUUUUGUGACACUUAGAUUCUAAUUGCCUUCUUUUUCUUUAUAAAAAUUUGAUUUUCUGGGUUCCCAAACAAUCCCUUGAGAAACCCAGAUGCUGGUUUAGUUGGCAGACAAGAAUCUAUUGGGGCAAUAAGACGAUGAAAAGAUGUGUAUACUGCCAUAAAUGUAACAUCAUCAUUGUAUUGUUGAUAUGUUAUGAGUAGAUUGUAUGCUUAACGUGACUUUAAUAAUAUUUACUUAAUUUCUAUUUUUAAUUAUUCUCUAAUUUAUAAAUAUACUAAUUCAUGAAUUAGCUUUCUGUCAGUGUAAAGAAUAAUCACUUUUUCUUCAAAUCUCUGUUUUGAGACUAACGAGGUAGGAUCCUAUGUUUCUCGUACAAAGUAAUACCAAAAUCCUUUCCAAUCAAUUUUGAUUGGAUAACUAUUUUUAUAUAUAAAUAUUUUACUUGAUUUUAAAAUUCUCAAUAAAACAAAUAUAUAUUUUAUUAUUAGACAUAAAAAUAAAUUAACACCUAAAAAGGGAAAGAGUAAGCCCAGAGAAGUUGGCCCAUGUAUAAUUGGGCUUCAUGGAUUCUUGGACUAUUGACCCGAAACUUUUAUCAUUACAGGCUCAUGGAAAGCCCAUUUAUUAAGCAUCAAACACAGUAAAGAGUCUAACCCGAUUUAAUUUAGUAGUUGGAAGCAUAUCAUUCGUCGAAUUUGAAUUAUUUAAAAAUAAUAAAUCAGUGUAAUUUAUUUAUUAAAAAAACUAGAAAUAGAUAAUAAAAAUAAGUAAAUAUGAAAUUAAUGGGGUGAAUUUAAUUUAUUGAGAAAAUUAAAUUAAUAAGGGAUAAAAAUGAUAAAAACUAGAGGGGUAAAAGAUUAGAAUUGUUGUACCUAAUGAGAGAGAAAGCUGAGUUAGUUUUAUAUUAUUUUUUAUGAUUUAGAAAGUUGGAAAAAUGUCGAAUUCAAGACUGUAUUUUUCUUUAUUUUAAAAUAAUUACUUAAAAAUAAGAAUAAUUUCUCCAUUUUGAGAUAUUUUGUUUUGAAAAAUAGAAAUAUUUGUAGUUAAUUCCCAUGAGUGUAGAAAAAAUAGCUAUAUUUUCUCCAUAAAUGGAUCUGCUAAAUUAACUCCUAAAAAAAUUCAAAGGAAAGAAAUAAAAGGAUUGUUUCCUUACCAACUUUUUAUUUCGGCAGGAGAAUGAUAAGUGCUAAUCCCACUCGCAUCCUAUCCCCGUGAGUCCAAUCACCAAUAAUAACAAAACAUUGAAUAAAAGAUUUUUUAUUCUAAUAAUUUUAGUUUUAAACUUAAUUUAGCCCCAAAAUCAAUUUUUUUUUAAAAUUUCGUGAUAAAGAUUGAAAUCAGACUCAUUUUUCAAUUGAAAUUCCUGAAUAAAAUUUAAUUUGAGUUAAUUUAGAUAAAAAUUAAAAAUAAAAUAAAAUUUUAACAGUUAAGGAGAUGAAAUUAAGCACUCGAUCAAUAAAGAUGUAAUUAUCAUCAGACGGUGUGUGUCACAUUGUAAGAGGGAGCGUGAGGACUGAGGAAAGCCAAAAUCGAAAUUUAAUAAAUAAAUAAACAAGCAAAUCCAGCGUAAAAAGAAUGUGAUGUCCUUGAAAUUAAACCUAGGAGCUGAAAUAAGCUUAAAUCAGAUAGAGAGAGUGAAGGUGAAAAUCUAAUUGGAGAUAAAAUCCCAAUUUUGAAGGAAAAACCACUCAAAAACCAAAUUAAACCCUGAAAUAGAUUUCUUCUUAAUUAAUUAUUUUGUUUGUUUGUUUGUUGUUAAUCACUCUAAUUAAGAAUAUAAUUUUUAAAAAAAUGGUCCUCUCAAAGUUCAGAGACAAUCCGACCUUCUUUCACUCCCUCUCAAUUUCCACAAAACUUAACCUUAAAUUCAUUCUCUAUUUUUUCGUACAUCUCUUUUUUUAUUUUUAUAAUUUUGUUAUACCCUUCUUUCUACCUUGGCAUGAUUCUUUAGCAUUUCCAAAAACUCCCAAAACCUUAACUAGACAGGAUGGCCUUGAUUUGGAGCUCCCCCUCUCGUCUUCUCCUCCUUGGCCUCCUGUCCCUCCUCCACCCUUUCACCAUCCCGGCCGGAAGUAUUCGUGUCGGCACGGUUGUCCGUAAACCCUCCCCGGAGAUUCCCAUUUUCCGGGAAGCCCCCUCUUUUCGUAAUGGCGAUGGUUGUGGAUUACACGAGACCGAUAUUAUUCAUGUGGCCAUGACCUUAGACGUUAAUUAUCUUCGAGGUACAAUGGCAGCGGUGCUCUCAAUGCUGCAACAUUCUACAUGUCCUGAAAAUUUGUCAUUCCAUUUCCUUUUCGUUCGUUAUCAACCUGAGCUCUUUUCCAGCAUAAAUUCUACCUUCCCUUUCUUGAACUUCAAGAUUUAUAGGUUCGACUCUAAGCGAGUUCGAGGAAAGAUUUCUAGGUCCAUUCGAAAAGCUUUGGAUCAACCUUUAAAUUAUGCGAGAAUUUAUCUUGCUGACAUAAUACCACCCCAUGUAAGAAGGGUUAUUUACUUGGAUUCUGACAUUAUCGUGGUGGAUGAUAUUGCAAAAUUAUGGGAUGUAGACAUGGAGGAUAAGGUGGUGGCUGCACCAGAAUAUUGCCAUGCAAAUUUCAGUCAGUACUUUACCGACACAUUUUGGUCGGACCCAGAAAUGGCAAAAACAUUUGAAGGAAGGAAUCCUUGUUAUUUUAACACAGGAGUGAUGGUGGUGGACGUAGAUAAAUGGAGAAAAGGAGAGUAUUCGCAAAAAGUUGAGGAAUGGAUGGCAGUACAGAAACAAAAGAGGAUAUACCAACUGGGUUCUUUGCCUCCAUUUUUGCUUGUUUUCGCCGGAAACAUUAAGGCAGUGGAUCACAGGUGGAACCAACAUGGCCUAGGUGGUGAUAACUUUCAAGGGAAAUGUAGGAGCCUUCAUCCUGGUCCAAUUAGCCUUCUCCAUUGGAGUGGCAAGGGUAAACCAUGGCUGAGGUUAGAUUCUAGAAAGCCAUGCAUUGUUGAUCAUUUGUGGGCUCCGUAUGAUCUCUACCGUUCAUCAAUAAAUUACUUGGAAGAAUAGAUGAAUAAAAAAUGAAAAAUGGAAAUGUUGAAAGAGGAAGAGAAAAGCAAGACAUCAUGUCGAUCACACUCUAAUUAGGAUCUAAAAGGAAAGAUUUUUGCUUUUUUCAUUUUUUUAUUAAAAAAAAAACAUAUUGACAAAAUUGAUGACUUGAAUAAGAUUCGAUGACAGACAAGAAAAAGCCUGAAGUAGGGCUUUUGUUCCAACUUCCAAGGAAGGAAGUGAUUAAGGUUAAGGGUGGGAGACUGGCAUCCUUUAGCUCCCCAUGGCUUGUGCCUUCAUGAAGUUGAGUUUAAAAUAUUAAAACACACACAGAGGGAAACACCAAGUUGUUGAUUACUUUUUUUUUUUUUUCAUUGCUUUUGUAUUUUUUUAGUAUNNNNNNNNNNNNNNNNNNNNNNNNNNNNNNNNNNNNNNNNNNNNNNNNNNNNNNNAAAAAAAAAAAAAAAAAAAAAAAACAAGAUAAUGCAUGUUACAUUCGUUAGCCAACAUCACUGACUUGUAGUUCGAAACAUUUUAAUGGAUAUACAGUUUACAGAAGAUCCAUAUAUAGGGUUGCCUUUAUUACAAUUCUCAUAUAGAGAGUUUUUCAUUUGAUUUACUGCUUAGGGCAUUCAUAAUAAGACAGAGAUUCAAAUAUGCAAUUCGGCGAUCAACAGCCAUGGACCCGCCACAGGUUCAUCAAUGUGUAGAAUAUCUGAUAAGAGGAACAUUUUCAGAAGAAGUUAAUCAGUUUGCCUGCAAAUAGAUAUAUUCUAGACAAUGAACCCUCAGCUAUAUGUCUUGAAAGAUAUCUGCGACAGAAGAACAAAUUAAUUGUGUCUUGUGGAAUGCAAGAAACCAACCAAAGAUAUAUAAUAAAUGGAGAAAAAGCACAGACUUUGGCAUAAUUGUAUGCCUGCCAGAAAAAUGGCUCCCCUAGAUAAACUGGAGGAAGAUUUUUACUCAUUUUCUCCAUUAAGCUUUACCAUACAGUUUGCAGCCUCUGCCUCAAUAUAUGAAGGCUUACAAUGUGACGCGUACUGGGGUCAUCAACCCAGGAGUCCAAUCCUUUAGCUCACUGAUUCACCCUUAUGCCAUACCCACGUCUUGAACCCUCACUAUAAAGACACAAACAAACCAAUAACUACAGCUGAACAGAGCAGCCUAACAAAGAUACUCCCACAAUUAAAAAAUAAAUAAAUAAAAGGUAAGAGCAUUAAUGAUACUUUCAAAGAUUAAUGUGCAUUCAACAAUUUAACGUGCAAAGCAUCUCUACAAAAUUAUACACACUAUUAAAUAACAUUAUUAACAUUUGUGCUAUGGUAUUAAUAAUUUUUAUAUUAUUAUAUAAUUUAUAAUUUGAUUAGAGUUUAAUUAUUUAUUAUUAAAGUUAUCAUAAAACAAGGAUGGGAUUGAAUUUAAAUUUAUUUAGUGAAUAAUAUAUCAAACUAAGAUGUUUUUCAUGCUUUUAAUUUUAUUAGCAAAAUAUAAAUAUAAUGGGUUAUUGCAACCUUUUAUUAUUGUUUAUUUCUUUAUCAUAUAAUUUAAAUAUUAAAAGAUAUAAUUUUAUCAAUAUUAACAAAAGCAGAAUGGAAUUAGUGAGCGAGCGUCACAGGCAACCUACAAGAAGAAAAAGGCAAAAAGGAGAGAGAGAGAGAGAGGUUGGAGGUUUGCUUUUGCAGAUUCUGUCGACACAAUCUUCUUCAUCACCAAAAAUUAGUGAAACAGAGGGAGGGAAACUCUAACCAAAUUAAAAUUUGAUCGAUCGACGAUCAUCAUCGCAUCAUGUCGUUUUCCUUCUUCAAGCCGUCUCGGCCUAAAACGCCGCAAGAGGUGGUCAAAGCAGUGAAAGAUAGCCUCAUGGCUCUUGAUACCAAAACUGUUGUUGAAGUUAAAGCUCUCGAGAAGGUCAUUCUCUUUUUUAUGUUAAAUUACCUUCGCAUUUUUUUAAUAUAUAUAUUUUGUUUCCUUGGAAUUAAUUCGUUUACUGCUAAUGAAUUAUGCUUUUACAACAGUUUUUAAUGAUUGUAAUUUCUAUGCGUUGCUGAUUAGUUGGCUGAUUGGGUCAAUCCUGAAAUAAUCCUCUUUACUUAUUUACUGUUGCCUAUACAAUGAAAUGCAAGGAUUUUAAGAACAUAGAAAAUAGCCAUUGCAGUGAUAAUACCGAUAUGGAAAUCUAGGGUGCUCAUUGCUUGGUUGCAGUAAUUCUGGGAUUUGAGUAUUUGAAACCUCAUAUUUUCGUAUCUCAGUGACUAGAUGGGUAGUUUCCAUGAAAUGGGUGCUCUCGAGCUUCAAACUUGCGAUCUCUUGGCUGCAGGCGCAGCCUUUGUACUAGACACUGGUCCUUUGGGUCGUCAAGUGGGCAGAAGGAGCUUUAAAUGUUGGAGAGAGCAAUGCCCAAGGAGGGUAUCUAUGGUCACAGAGAUCCAUGUUGCUUCUCAUAUUUAGAUACAAUCAGAAUCCAAUUUCCAUUAAGAUUAUUUUAAUGGAGGGAAGCAAGAGAACGAUUUUCUUUUUCAAUUAUGCUUGCCAUUUCCUUAAUCUUUAUAUUUGACUUUUUCCCUCUCAUUUUCGGAUAGGCAAUGGAAGAAGUUGAGAAAAAUCUUGUGGCAGUGAGAUGCAUGCUAUGUGGAGAUGGAGAGGUUGAACCAAAUAUAGAUCAAGUUUCACAACUGGUGCUUGAAGUUUGUAAAGAGGAUGUUCUCUCUCUUGUGAUUCACAAACUCCCUAAUUUGGGAUGGGAAGUGAGUUUGAACUGUUCUUAGCACUCUGACAAGCAUUCCAAGUCUAUUUGCAUGCAUUGAUCUGAUAUGUAUAUAUUUUUAACUCAGGCGAGAAAGGAUCUAGUCCAUUGUUGGUCCAUGUUGUUGAAGCAACAGGUUGAUUCCAAAUAUUGCUCUGUAGAAUACAUAGAGAACAAUUUUGAAUUACUAGACUUUCUUGUCGUUUGGUAAGAUACAUUAUUUUUCGCUCUCUGUUUCUCUUGUUAAUAUUAUCAGCAUUUUCUAAAGACUUUUGGAUGCAUGUUGUGUGUGCAUGUGUUCUGUAUCUUUUUUUUUUUUUUGGCGGAGUAUCCCUUUCUACUUGUGUUUUUGAUCCAGCAUGAGUAUUGCAUAUUGCAUUUGAAAUAUAUCUAGCUCAGAAGAAUAUCAAGUUAUGUUUGGAAGGAUUCAGACAAUAUUUUGAACAUAUCACAAAUUGGAACUUGAAUUUUUUUAUUUUUUUUUUGGCAAAAAGUUGAAGGGGGGGACAUGUCAAUUUGCACACCAAGGACACUUCAGGAUUUUUUUUAUUUUUAAAGGCAACACGGUUCUGGUAUGACUGGUGGAGCUAAAAUCUUAAACGAAGACAAUAAAAGUUGUAGGUGUUGUAUUAGAUUGACUCUAAUUAAGUGCAAAGGACCAUUAUUAGCUAUAAGAAAUGUCCAUUAAUGUUGAGGAUGCAGUUUUCUAUUUGACCAUUUUCUUUUUAGUUAAAGUCAUGUGACUUGGACUUGGGGAUUAUUAAUGGAUUGUGUAUAUGUGUAAGACUCGGAGUCAACUUAUUUGUGAAAUUUUAAGAUACUUUCCCACUGAUUUGAAUUGCAAAAGUAUCAGUAUCUAUGCCCAAAUGUCCUUACAUGACAGGUGUAUUUUGUUAAAGUGCUGAAGUAGCUAUGCUUCUAACUUCUAAGUAACUUCAUGAAUCCAGUAAUUGCAUUAUGUCUAAAAGUUGUAUGAAGUGAAAAAAAAAAGGUUGAAUUCUUCAGUUGUUUCAUUGCCUUCUGGUCAUGGAAUGCCAUAGUGUUAUUGUAUGGGACUCACUAUUGCCUUUUGGAAGCAGCUAUGAUAACAAGGAAAUUGCCUUGAACUGUGGACUUAUGUUAAGGGAGUGCAUCAAAUUUCCUACCCUUGCAAAGUAAGACAUCAAGCUUUUCUUCAAUUACUGGUUGUUGCAAGUCCUUAAUGACAGUGCCAAAGUUGAUGGCACGGUGUAAAAGAAACUUUGCUUAUAUUUGAUUUAGGCAAUCAAACUUCAAGCUUUCACACUGUUAAUUUUUGUAGUGAUUUUUCAGAUACAUUUUAGAGUCCGCCAGCUUUGAAUUGUUCUUCAAAUUUGUGGAAUUGCCAAACUUUGAUGUUGCUUCUGAUGCUUUCUCUACUUUCAAGGUUAGAGUUAUGAGUUUGUAAGUUCUAGUUUCUUUAUGUUAUACCUGUUAAUUUUUUAUGCCUCCAGUUAUGCAUACUUUACAUGGUUGUAAAUAAAUGCUUACCAGGAUUUGCUUACUAAACAUGGCACUGUGGUUGCUGAAUAUCUCACUGCACACUAUGACGAGGUACUCUUCCCUCUUCUUGUUCUCAUGGUAUGAUUCUGGAUGGAUCUAGACAGAUUCAGAUAUUUCUUAAGAAUCUGUUGAUCUAUCUGUGUCAGCUACUUGGUAUCUAACAAAAGAAUCUGCUUUGUCAAGAAUCUAAUUAUGUGUGCGAGUAACAAAUUAGUGAAAUGAGGAGGAUGAUUUAUCUGAACUGCUGAUGCUGUUUAGAAAACAAUGUCUCUCGCUGAUUUUAUGCGCCUGUAUGGUGGGGACUGCUAAGGCUACUCUUUUCAAUUAUCUUGGCAUAUUCAUCUUAUUCUCAUUCUGUUGCCUGUGUAAGAUUGCUACUAUGAUAACUGGCUGUUUUUCCAGUUCUUUGAUCAUUAUGAAAAACUGUUGACAUCUCCUAAUUACGUUACAAGAAGGCAGUCCUUGAAGGUUAGUUUCAACUACAAGUUUUCAAAUCCUACUCUUCUGUUGUGUUGAUCUAUAAGUUAACAAGAGUAUGUUCAUGGAUUUAGCUUCUCUCAGAAUUCCUUUUGGAGGCUCCAAACUCCCAUAUAAUGAAGCGCUAUGUUUUAGAAGUUCGGUACUUAAAAAUCAUGAUGACAUUGCUGAAGGUAUCAAAAAUUUAACUUUCACUCUUUUUCUUGUUAUCUUAAUUUUGGAUUUGUGUUGUUUGACCAAUUGGGUAUGUUGUACAUGAAUUAGAUGGUUGUUCUGAAGCCAUAGUACUGUGUAGCCAACAACUACUAAAGUUGGAAUCCUGACUGAAUUCAGACAAGCCCAAUAGACAUGAAAUUAAAGACCUAAAAGCAUUGAACAAGAAGAGGUCUCUUCUAUUCUAAUGUUUUGAAGUGUUGGAUAUUGAGAUUGGGUAGUUGGGAACCCCCUUAAAUCAUGUAAAAAAAUUACAUGAGACUGAAAUCACACCUGGAUAUAUAUUUUGAGUAAUAUGAUAAUUUAUUAUCCGUUAGUCUCCCAAAGUCAGUUUUAUUUGUCUUAAUUCUGUUUUACAAACAGUUGUAGUUCUAACUUCUAUGCAAUCCCUCGAAAAUAAAGAAACUAAACAAUUCCAUGGGAGUUGGCACCCGAUCGUAUCUAUCUGCUGGUUUUCCUGUUUGUUGUGGUAGCCAAACUUUCAAGCUUCACUCCCCUUUUGUGUUGCAUGCAGCCACAAUAAUAUUUGAAUAGCAUUCUGCAUAGGGUUAGGAAGUUGUUACGAUUUUGAUGGUAAACAAGCUUGAGUGCUGCUAAAUGAUCCAAGUAUGAUGCUACACGCCUAUACCUAUUCUCAGGACACUGAAUCAUGGGUUUUUUUACUACUUCCAGUGGGAUGGACCAAUGAGUCCAGAGAGCUAUCUCUUUUUUGGGAAAAUAGACAAAUUUUCAAUUCUUGGCUGUCCUUGGGCUAGCAGAAACUCCCUCUGUGUGCUUUUUCUAUUUAUCCGAUAUGCAAUGGGGCCAUCAGAUUUCUUGCUUUUUACCUGUCUAUCUGCCAAGGUAGUAAAAUUGUCUCAGUACUUGGUGUGUUGCAAAGGGGGCAUUUGUUAGUUCCAUGAACUUGUGGUUAUCUUGAGCUAUAAUAGAUUGUUUUUCCUUUUUGACUAUUUUUGGAUAAUAUAUAAUAGUUGAUCUGUAGUGUAACCAUUUUUAUCUACUUUAUUUUUGGGUGUGAGCAGGACUCGAGCAAAAAUAUUCAGAUCUCGGCUUUCCACAUUUUCAAGGUUCUGCAUUCUUAUUUUGUCAUUGCAUCAUCUGUGUCAUUUUCAAGAGCUCAAGGAAAAAUAUUCAGAUAUUGAGCUAUCUAAUUUGCAUCAACUAUACUGUUUCCACAUAAUUUUUUUACUUCUACAAUUCAGUCCCAAGAUCUCCCACUUUGGUGCAAUGCAAUUGGAACUAGAGCCUUUCUUUUAUGGAGAUAAUAUAUUAUUGGCUACACUAUGGAGGGGAGGCUAUUGUUUGUACACAAAGUCUAGCAUAUGGAAAUUUUUUCUUCCAUUUAGAUGGUUGGUAAUUUAGUAGGGAUCAUAGAUUUAUUGACGCCUGAAUAAAAGGGAGAGUUUCAAAUUUUCUUUUUGGGGAUUCUACUGCAUUUUAAUGUGCAAGUUGAUUUUCUUGUAUUUAUUUUCAUAUAUUAUUGGCAUGGUCUCUCUCUCUCCCCCCCCUUCUUGACAAGAAGAAGAAGAAGAAGAAGAAGAAAAGACAGUUAUUCUGGUAUACUUAGGCAGUAUGGACACCACUGAACUAAAAAUCCUCUAUUUCCAGCUUGGAUAAUGAAAUAAGGGUUUGCAGCGGAACUUCAUUCAUUGUUCUCAUUCAGAGUUUUGAAUCCCUUGUUCUUCAUGCAGGUUUUUGUUGCUAAUCCCAACAAGCCACGUGAAGUAAAAGUAAUUUUGGCAAAAAACAAUGAAAAAUUGGUGGAACUACUCGAUAAUCUCACUGUUGGAAAAGGUAACUAGAAAUAUGAUAUUCUUCUGCUACACUGGAACCAUAUAUGUGCAAGUGGCAUGUGAAGUUUUUAAAGAAUCAUUAUGUGGAAAACGUUGUAAUUUCACCUGUUUUCAUCAUCUCCUUUCAGGUGCUGAGGAUGAGCAAUUUGAAGAGGAAAAGGAAUUGAUAAUCAAGGAAAUUAAGAGACUGUCAUGCCUAGCCAAUUUUGGAUAGUUAGGUCCUUAUCUUAGCAGCGGUUUUUCCCCUUUUACUGAGAUCUCAUCUUGUGGAUCAUGCUAAUUCUACGUGAUAACCUGCAAUUGCUAUGCGAGGAGUUUCGAGCGCUAGCCUGAGAGAUAUGUAAUUGUUAUUAUAUAUCUAUGUCUAUAUAUAUAUAUAUAUAUAUAUAUUGCUUCAGAAGACAUACUGAUUAGAUAUUGAUCUUUGGUCUAAGAAAACGCAUAAAAUUUGUUGGUUUUUGGUGGUGAAAGGCAUUGUAUUUUGUGGAGUUUGUUGUCUUGCUUUUGGUCUUGUUUGUGCAACACACGGUGGAUUCAAGGCAUGGUUUUCAUGUAAGAAAGAUUAGAUACACUUAUAUGGUUCAAGACUGGUGUUUGUAGAAUUGAAAAUGCUUACGAUACAUGAAAUAUAAUUGCAACGAUUUGUUGGAUUCAGUCUAUGAUUGUUUCUUAUGGAAAAAAUUUCAGCUACCCAUUGGUUACACAAAUUUAGUUUAAGGAAACUGAAAGAUUGCUACGAGUAGGGCUUCAGCUUGAUAUCUGAUAGGAUUGGUGAUAGCAAAAUGGAUCUAUUAGUGCCGGGUACUGGAUUAGAACCUGAUCCUGCAAUGAUUCUUGUUUAAGUUUGUUCUGUGCUGGUGCUGGUCUGGGUAUUCUUUGGUUAUUGAGAAAAUGUGCGCCGAGCAUGGCGAGUCAGAGAGAGUCAUGGGAAUAAGGUGGCUUUACAGUUUCAAUUCACUUUGAUUCGGUCAAAUUUUGAUUAAUUUAAUGGUCAAGAUUUUAUUUUUUUAUUGAAAAAUUUCCGAUUGCGGUCUAAAAUUGAAUCAAAUGGUUUUAGUGUGAUUUAAUUACGACCGUUCAAAUAGGUUAUCAAUUUUAAGUAAACUACAAUUUUUAUUAACCAAUUUUAUUUAUUUAUGUUAUCAAUUCUGAAAUAAUUUAUAUUAAAAAAUAAAAAAUUCUUGCAUAAUUAACCUGAAACUCUAUUCAAACCGAUAUAAUUGAUUUCAAGUUUUAUGAAAUAAAAAUUUUAGAUUAACGUAAAAGACAAUAUAAAAGAAAAUUUUGUUAAAAAAUUUUCAAUUAAUAAUAUGUAUUUUUCCUAUUCAAGAAAAGUAUAAGAAUUAAAAAAAUAAUAAUAAAAUGUUAACCUGAAACGACUGUUUUUUCUUUUUUUUGAAGGAAAAAAAAAAUUUAAUUUACGAGCCAACUCUGUCUCCUUCUCCUUUGCCAAAUCCAAAACCUGUACAGGUUAGCUAGGAUUUUCACUGAAAAGGCUGUAUAUAUGAGCAACUACCAAAUCCUUUGAUCAGUGAGCAAGCCAUCAAAGAAAUUGAUAUAUUCAUCAAGUCUGUAUUUUGUAAAAUUUUUCUCCGCGAAUCGGUGGAGAGAGUGCUGCAAUCUUCAUGGCAAGGAGAUCAAAGCGCGCUGUUAAGAAGCCAAUACGGGUGGAGAAGCUCGAAACCGCCUUCACUUUCCCUUUCUGUUUCUGGCAAGCAACCCAACGCUGUGGAGUGCAUCAUCGACAGGAAGUUACGAUUUGGUGAAGCCGGAUGCAGUGCAUGCAAAGCAAGCUACUCGACCUCCAUCAACCCUUUGACGGAGCCAAUCGACAUAUACAGCGAAUGGAUCGAUGAAUGUGUUAAGCUUAACGAAAGCUGAAGAUGUUUCUUUGUCUUCUAAAACUCUUUAAUGGCUUGCAUGCUAUCCUCUUCUUCUCUUCUUUCUCUUCUUCCUCUUCUUCUUUUUGUGUGUAGUAGGAUUAUGUUGACGUAGGUUAAUCUUAGGGAUGUUUAAUUCUAAGCUUUGCGUGGAAAUUAAAUUUUUGUUCUGUUUAUGGAUAAUUUAGGGUUUAUAUUAAUGUAUAUUUGAUGAUUCUUUGACUUUGAAUCAUCAAAUUAUUCUUGUAAUUAAUAAAAUUUGAUUUUUUAGUGUCACUUAAAUAUAUACGAAAAAUUAAUAUUUUUUGAAAAAAUAACUUACUAUUUGGUACAGAUGAAAAAUAAAAUUUAUUUAAGACGGGUUUUUGUUUUCAUUCACAGGUAAUAAUAAUACUCUUGUUUUCUAUUAUAUUAUAAUAGAGCAAUGCUUUGUUUGAGUUUUGUUCAUUUGUUUUUUUUUUUUUUUUAAUUUGUAAAAAAAAAAAAAAGUUGAAGUCUUAAAAUAAAAAUUAAUUCUUGAUUUUAGUUUCACAGUCAAAAGUAUAAACGGCACGUCUUGGUACAGGACACCACGAGUUAAAAUUUAAAUUUUUUUUUUUAGAAAAGGAAACUUGCAGAAAACUGAUGGCUUUACGCGCCACCUUCAUCUCCUUCUCCAUCUCCAAAUCCAAAUUUAAAACCUGUUCAGGUUAGGAUUUGCACUAAAAAAGAGCUAUAUAUAUAUACACUCUAAACACUAAAUCGUUAUCAGUCAGCAAGGCAUCAAGAAAGUGAUAUAUUCAUAAAGUCAGUCUUUUGUAAAUUUUUUCCCUGUGAAUCGGUUGAGAAAGCUGUAAUCGCCAUGGGCAAGGGGAUCAAAGCGCAUUGUUAAGAAGCCAGUGCGGGUAGAGAAGCUCGAAACCGCCUUCACAUGCCCUUUAUGCGACCAUCCAACGCUGAGGGUGCAUAAUCGACAGGAAUCUAAGGGUGGGUGAAGCCAGAUGCAGUCCAUGCAAAGCAAGCUACUUGACAUCCAUCAACCCUUUAACGGAGCCAAUCGAUAUAUAUACAGCGAGUGGAUCAAUGAAUGUGUUAAGGUAAAUGAAAGAUGAAGAUAUUUCUUGGACUCUUACAACUCUUUAACGGUUUGCCGUAGACCGUAGCUACUACCACUAUUUUCUUUUUCUUUGUCUCCUUUUUGCGAGUAUAAUAGAUUAGAUCAAUGUAAGUUAAUCAUAGGCACGUUUAAAUUCUAAACUUUAAAUGGAGAACCAUUUUAGUAAGAAGUAAACUUGAUCUUCCAACAAUGAUGAACAGCCCCAUGAAUUACGUAGCUAAGCUUUGUGCGGAAAUUAAGUUGUGUAUCGUUUAUGGAUCAUUUAGGGCUUAAAGUAUAUUUUAUUUUCAAUAAUGCUUACUUCAACAUCUUCAAAGGGCUCUCCCUUCCUCUGGUUGGAUAACCCCAAAUAGGUUUUGACAUUCAUAGGCGUGGGUCGUCAUACACAUAUUUGUCGUUUUCUUUUCGUUUGAUCCUUUAUCCCUUCUUUUAAAUGAAUGUCUCAUUCAGCUAUAUUGGAGUUGUCGUCAACCUAAUAUUUUGUAAAGUCUAUAUUCGGCUGGACAUUGAGCGACGGGACCAGACCUCACCUUUCGUUUUGUUUUAAAAUCAACUAACUUCAAUUGUAUUAAGGGAAACAAAAAACCUCAAACUCAAUCCUUAUGGAUGACUUUGUCUAACUUCUAAUCUGCUAUGAAGGAACAAGGUUGACAUGAUUUCUAAAACCAGAAGAAAUGUAGGACGUAACAAUUGAAAUUCGCAUUCCAUUUAUAUUAGUAAUAAGGCUUGUGAGCGAUCCUUAGAAACAAAAUGGGAAAGCAAUUCCCUAAGCCAAAAAGACUUGCAGCCAUCCCUCACCCCAAGAAACAGAAAAUGAAGAUCAACAUCCAAUUAUUCAAUCCAUUUCACCGUGUUGGGGUAUAUGGUAUAUCAUACAAAAGAAACAGAAGAAAAGGAAAUGCAAAACAAGCACAUAAAAAACCAUAAAUGGAAAACACUUCCCACAACAGAUCUACCUACUAUCGCAGAUGUGAUUAAGGUAAAUGCAGGUCUUGUCACUAGUGAAGCACUUUCAACACAAAUACCAAUUAUCCACAAUCUUAACUGGAUUUAAGUUUAUACGAAGAUACAGUUUGCCUGUCAACCCAGGCUGGUAAGAGUAUCGCUAUACAAACUAAUUGUUUCUUUGACUCAGAACCCGCAAAAUGGAAAGGAACAGAUUAAGGAUGUCCAGGUAGAGAGCAGCAGAGGCCAAAAUAUAUUCAUCAUACGAGUAGCGCUUGAUCAGGUUGUCAGUGUCAUAAAUAAUGUAUCCACAGAAAACCAGAGCGCUAAUUCCACCAUAGAUAGCUGUAGAUGUUGAGCCAAGAGGGAAGAACAUCUACAAAAUAAAACAGGGAGAACAUUUUCUCAAUAUUUGUUAAACAACUAAUAUAUUAAUGGCUGCAUGGCUUCAAUAAACGAAGACAAAUGAGACAUCUAACCUGGAUAAAACUGGUCAGGAUGAGUAUGAUAAGGCUGGUGAAUAAAAUAGGUCCUAAAAAGCUGAAGUCUUGACCCCUCUUAGAAGCCCAGAAAGUGUAUCCAGUUAAAGAGCAAACCACAGCUGAGGUUAGAAUUAGUGCUUCAAGCACAAUUUUCCCUGAAACAAAGCAGCAGAAGAACAAUCAGAUCAUAAUAGUAGAAGAUUUCUACGUUCUCAGAUUCGAUUAGAAAAUGAAUUGUAAAACCAUCCAUGGAGCCUUUAAACUACAAAACAUGACAGAACUUCUAAACAGCGGAGAAAAGAGAUACUGACCAUCUGUAUUAGCACAGCUUACUCCAACCAAAAGGCUUAGCGACACAGUGAAGAGACCAAGGACAAUCAGGUUGACUGGGUGCUUCUGGUGAUAAACGUGCAAGGGCCACAACACUGCAAUUUUGAGUUUGUUGUUGAGAGAAAGCACAAUGAAUUUCAGUAAAAAAAUAAUCAAGAGGCAAGAGUCAACCUAUCUCAUUUCAUCAUCUCUCUGCCAUCUUCGCCAAUAAAAUUAUAUAAGAAAGUUAUUGAAUAGACAGAAUUCAAUUUUCCAACAAUAAAUAAACAAAUAAAUUGAGAAAAUCCAUUCACUCUAGCGGCAGAACACAUAAUAAAAUUCAAUUCGAAAGACAAAAAUGUGCAAGGGAAAAUAUGAGAUCUGAAUUAUAAACGUACGGAUGAAAGGAACGAUGCAGAGGAGCAGAAGGAGGCCGGGACUGUCACCAAGGAGAGCGUUGACCGGAGUGUAGAGGACGGUGAAGGCGGAGACGAUGGUGGUGAGCACCAGCUGGACGGCGAGAAUACCGUAGACCUUGCGGAUCAAGCCCCAUCGAAGCUGGUUCUCCCCCAGACUCAAACCAGGGUACAACGUCUCUCCAUUGCCAGCCUCAAGAUCAACAUCUUUCCUAUCCUUGGUGCUCAGGCUCGAGAAUCCGUACAUCUCUUCCUCUGACUUUUUUUGUCUACCUUGAUUUUUCAGGGAAAGAGAUGAGAUAUAGAAAAUAGAAUUAGAAUGCCUUUGUUUAUACUUCAGACGUGGGUGGGGCCGGUAGGCGGACGAGGACUUCCAAUGACAGCUUAACGUGACAAGUUGGUGCGGUUAAAACUGUGACCGACAAAUGGGUAAUGAAGAGCGAUAUUUCCAUUUUCCAAUUUUUUAAAUAUAAAAUAGGAGCGACUAAUCAGUAAUCAUUAUCUCGUAAUUUAUCAUUUGUGGUAUUUGAAUGGGAAAAGCACCAAGUAAGUUGGACUUAUUUAAUUUAUAAUUUCUUCUACUUUUUUUUCUUCAAUAUAUAUAUUUUUUAUUUUCAUAUUUAAUAAAAUUUAAUAUAUAUAUAUAUAUAUAUAUAUAUAUUUAAUUUGUGUAAAAAUUUCUAAACGACACAUAUAAAAGAAAUUAAAGAGGAGAGACGGGCGUGUAAUAAACUCAUAAUUGAGGAACAAACUGUGGAAAUUACCCCAGUUGGUGGUGGGAGCAUCAGCAGAGAAAAAAGGGCAAAAAAAAAAAAAAAAUAAGUUGCCACCAUUUCUCAAUGCUGGGGAAAGCUGCCAACCUCCUCCUCCUCCUCCGUGGGCUUUCUAAAUCGCCUGAGAUUGAUCAGCAAUUCCCCAUAUACAAAAGUGCUCUCCUCCACUUUCCCCUAAUUUCGCUGCCUUUAAUUCCCUCCCGAAAGAAGUAAAAUGAAAAUUGCUUAUUAACUUUUUAAUUACCAUCUAUAAUCAUAAUCAAAUCGCACGCNNNNN
rnacentral:lncRNA from 1 species